UAAUUAGAAAAUAAGUCAUAAUAGACAUGGCUGAGGAUGUCAUAUAGAAUGUAAUUAAUUGCUUAUUAUUUUAGUUAUCUUCUUCUUUCUCCAAUAUCCCAUCUCCAUAUUAUUUUGUUCUAUUUUAGAUCUUGGGUUAUAUAAUCGGUAUCAACACAAAUACCGGUUCCAACAAUUGGUAUUAGAGAAAAUGACACUUCCCAACAAUUAGUAUCAGAGCCGGAAAGUANUAUAUAUAUAUAUAUAUAUAUAUAUAUAUAUAUAUAUAUAUAUAUAUAUAUAUAUAUCAAUGUUUGAAAAGGGGCGCGCGCCCUAGCACCUAGGCGCAAGGCACGAGUCUCGGCAUCUCAAGGAGUGAGGCACGCACCUCAGACACGUCUCAAACACACCUCGUGAUAUUUACGUUUAAUGUGUCUAGAGUUUGGGUUUUCGAAUUUUGAAUUUCUUCAAUAUAUUCUAAAAUGUUAAGAAUUUUUCUAAAAAAAUUUUAAUUAAACGUUUUUUUUUCCUUUUUCUCUUGGUCGUUCUCUUUUCCACCCCCCAAUGGCAAUAAGUAGCAGCGACAAGAAACAAGAAGCAGCAGCAAGCACUUUUAAGUUGAAAGUUAAAAUAUAAUUUUUUUAUUUUUAGGCUGAGAAUAUUUAUGCAUGCGAUUUUUUUACUUUUUAUGGUUAUUUUGUUUUUGUAUAACUAUUUUAGAAGUUUUUAACAUAAAACAUUCAUUUAAAAUAGGCUUGAUAAGAGUGUUUUAUUUUUUAUUAGAUGUGAGCCUCACCUUCUUGAGGCGCAUGCCACGUAGUGCGCCUCACGCCUAGGCUCCAUAAGGCCUUUGUGCUUUUUUGCGUCUUACGCCUUUUCAAACACUGAUAUAUAUAUAUAUAUAUAUAUAUGGUGGGCUGGUAUGCUUCUGGAAGCACAGAGCCUUCCGUGCUUCCAAGUCGUUUUCGAUGUUGGGACUUUCGAAUCGACAAACGGCUCCGUUACACUUGAUCUAGAGUAUUUGAAGUACCUAGAAAAUAAAUUUUGUGAUUUUUCGAUAUCAUUUGCCUAGUGAUCGAAGGGACUCAAAAUCAAUAAUUUUAACGGCCGUAGUGAGUCGUUUGCAAGUUUAACGGUGUAGAAAUAUCCAAAUCACGUGAAAUUUUGAUAGAAAAUUCUCUAUACUAUAUAAAACAAGAUCAAUAACUUCGAUCUAAAAUUUUAAUGUCAUAUCAUCAUAUUUUGUAAGAUUUUUAUUUUCAGCCGUUGAUUUUGAACCCCUUCGAUCACUAGGCAAAUGAUAUCGAAAAAUCACAAAAUUUAUUUUCGGGGUAAUUCAAAUACUCUAGAUCAAAUCUAACGGAUCCGAUCGUCGAUUCGAAAGUCCUAACAUCGAAAACGACUUUAAAGCACGGAGCGCUCCGUGCUUCCAGAAGCAUACCAGACGCACUCAUAUAUAUAUAUAUAAUAUAUAUAUAUAUAUAUAUAUAUAUAUAUAUAUUAUAUAAUAUAAUAGGCUAGGCUACUAUCCAUUAAUAGGAUAGUAGCACUUGUCCUAUAAAAUGGUUCUUGAUGAUAGAAAUUCCGAAUCGAUGAUCGGAGCGUUGAAGUUAAUCUAGAGUAUUUGAAAUAUCUAGAAACUAAAUUUCAUAAUUUUAAAAAUUAUUUAUAUGGUGAUCAAAGUGUCGUAAAAUCGCAAUUUUUGACAGCUAUAUAAGCCGUUUGCUUGUUUAACGCGUGUAGAGCAAUCCAAAUUGCUUGAAUUUUUAUAGAAAAUUAUUUAUACUAUUAGAUAAUGUUUGAUAACUCUGAUUAUGAAUUGAGAAAGUCUAACCUCUAUUUUAAGAAGGCUAUUCUAUUAUAACCGUUCAUUUUUUCAACUCUUAAGAUGAACUUGAUAAUGAUUUUUAAAUAUUACAAAAUUAGUUUCUAAACAUUUCUAAUUGUGUAGAUCAAUUUCAACGGUGCCGAUUAUUAAUUUGAGUUCCGAUCAUACAAAACGACUUGAUAGGACAAGUCUCCUAUCCUACUAAUAGGAAAGUAGCCGACUAUAUAUAUAAUUAUAUAUAUAUAUAUAUAUAUAUAUAUAUAUAUAUAUAUAUACACACAAACCAGGCUAGAAUGCUAUUAAUAGCACCAAGUCAUUGGUGCUAUUAAGUUUUCGGCCCUUGGAUAAAGGGUUGUAGGUUAUGAUGAUAGUGGUCCCCUAGGGUUGAAUGGGUGGUUUGUCGAAUAGUAUGAUCUAACGGGUAGAAAUGAUCAAAGGGUAGAUUUAACGGCAGAAAACUUGGUGGCACCAACACCAAGUGCUUGGUGUUAUCGAUAGCAUUGUAGCCGGGCUCAUAUAUAUACAUGAUUUUAUCAAGAAUGAAAUAUUUCUACAUAUAUACAUAGACCUUAUGGGAGCUUUCUAAACAUGGUUUGAAAGCAACUCCAAAGGAUUUUUACAUAGUAUGUUUUGAAUUGUUUACUAUUUCAUCUUUUAUCUCACUUUCCUUGUCCUUAGAAAUAACUAUUUCAUCCUACAAAUAAAUCAAAAAGAAACAAAACCACAACACAACUCAUAUUUGACUCUGCCCUCUUUUCUUUUUAUUUUUCUUUUUUAUGGGCUUCACAUGUGAAAAACAAGGAUGGGAGGGUUAGAGAAUUUUUUUUUUUUUUUUUUUUUUUUUUUUUUUUUUUUUUUUUUUUUUUUUUUUUUUUUUUUUUUGUGGGGGGGGGGGAGGAGGGAAGAAUCCAUAACAUCAGCUGCUGACAAAAACCCAGGAGUUUUUUUCCCCCUCUUUUCUUAUGCAACCAACUUAAUGAAUUCAAGCAAAAAUGGUAUGAAUGUAUUUCUAUUUCUGAGACACAGAAAAAGAAUAAGCAAAUACAUACACACACACACACACAAUAGGAUAGGUGAAGGGAACACCUUGUCUCCUGAUGGGGAGAUGAGGAAACCAGAGGACAAGAAAGAGAAUAUGCCUCCAUUUCUGGUUGUAUUUCCAUAACCCUCUGCACCAGUGGAUGAAGAAGCUGCAUCCAUGUCCUCUCCUCCUUCUUCUUCUUCUUCUUCUUCUUCUUCUUCUUCUUCUUCUUUUCUCUCUCUCUCUCUCUCCCCCUCUCCCUCUCUCUCUUGUGGGAACUGUGCUGCUUCUUUUCGUUGGGUGUUAAGCUUUUGUGGGUUAAAAGGAACGGGGGGUUGUGGUCACCUGCGGUAAGGGGAGAAAUUUCUCCUGGAGAAAAGUACCAGAAUUAAAUUUUUAGGUUAUUUGCAUUUAUGUCCCUGCAAAUAUAGUUAAUUGCAAAUAUUAUCAUAUAAAGUUUAACUGUUAUAUAUUAUUUUUGUAAAAAUUCUAAUAUUUUCAAAUAUAUUUCUCAAAUCUGCUAUCGUUAUAGAACUGUUUAUAUUUUAAGUAAAAUGUCAAUUUUUUCAUCAUAAAUAUGUCAUUCCAAAAAGCACAACAGUAUAAUAUAAGAGGGGCAAAAAUAUCAAGUUAUCUUAUAAAUUAAUCAAGGUUAAGUAUUUAAUCUAUAGUUAAUUAAAGUUUUCUACCGGAUUCUAACGUCGGUGAUAUAUUUGAAAAUAUUAGGACUUUUGUAGAAACAACAUAUGAAAGUUGAACUUUAUAUGAAUAUAUUCGUAAUUUACUAUGUUUACAAAGACCUAUAUGAAAUUAACCCUAAAAUAUUAGGACUUUAAAACAUAUAGACACCUAUUUUUUCUCUUCUAAAUUUGGUAAUUAAUUAUGAGAAUUGAAGAAUAAAAUGAAUCUAGCUUUGAUUUUUUUUUUUUGUUUCUUUUUUAUAUGGUACGAAUAGAAGAAAUAAUUUUUUCUGCAUUUAAUGUUUUAUAAGAAAAGUGUUUUUAUAUUAUUAAAACCAACAUAUCAUCAACAUAAAAGUACAAUAUCUAAAAACUUACAACAAUAAUUUUAUCAUAAUAUUAUCGUAAUAUAUUGGCAAUCCGAGGAUAAAUUCAUAUAAUACUUGUAAUUAUAUCUAUGAACUAUUUUAAAAUUAUAUGCAGCGUAGACCUACUAUAUAUGCUAUCGAAAGUAUAAGUGAAUCGGUGCUUUCGACUUUUUGCCCCUUGGAUCAGAAAUUAUAGAAUUAAAAUGGUAAUGCUCUCCCUUAGAAUUGAGUGAUCCCUCUCAGGUUAAAUGGUCCCCUUAGGAUAAUAAUAUUCAUCCAAAUAUCAGAAAUGAUCAAACAGAUUGAUCUAAGGGCCAAAAUGUUAAAAACACUAGCUCCGUAAUACUUUCGAAAGUAUAAUAGCGCUACUCAUUAUAUAUAAUCAAUACCGACAUAUCCGUAAAGUAGAAAGAAAAUAUUGUUUUUUUUUGAGAGAGAUAGAUAGCACGCUACCCGCUUUGUUAUUUCUUAGCUGGAAAUGUGAAUCAAUUAGAAUUCGAACUUGGGUCUCGAGUACCAAUCACCAAAUUUUUUACCACUUGCUAUAGAAAUGGUCGGUGAAAAAAAAUAUUGUUGAAACAUAGAUAAACAAGUACUCAUAAUAAGGGGAUGAAAAGUGAGGUGGGGAGCAAAAUUUCCCUUGAUUUUCCUGUGGAAAAUAAAAUACUUUUCUCUCUACAAAUGGCAAAAUACAUGUUCACAUUUGCUAAGUAGAAAGCAAUGGGCACUAGGAUGUUUGUUGUACUAGGAUUCCAGCUGUGCUACUAGAAGGUUUCAGGAGAGAUUGAUGGGUGCUUUUGCUGCUUUCUUCAGUUUCAUAUUUACCAUUGAAAUUUCAACAAUUUACUUAUUUGCCACUAAAUACAAUAAUAAACUAAAUUAGGUGCAAAAUUCAAUCACAUAUAUAGCAUUUCUGUCUGCUUGUACACAUUCUUAGCGUCCGUUUGGUCUAAAUUCUUAAAAAAUAAUUUUUAUAAAAUUAAUUUUAAUUUAAAAUUUUAAUUUUUAUUAAAAAUUGUAGAGUGUUUGGCUCAGUUUAGAUAAAAAAAAAAAUGAAUUUUUCUGAAAUGUUUAUGUAAAAACUUGUUUGGCGAAAUUUUUCUAGCUUUUGGCAUAUAAUAAUUUUUUCCACAAAGCUUUAUUUUAAAAAAUUAAAAUUUUAAAUUUAAAAUCAAAAAUUAAAAUUUGAAUUCAAAUAUUAAAUAUUCAAAUUUGCACAAAAUUAUAAAUUUUGAUAUUUUAACAUAAAAUAUAAAUUUUAAAUUUGAAAUUUUAAAAUUUUAAAUCUAAAGUUACAAAUUUCAAAUUAAAAAAUCUAAAUUUAGAAUUUGAAAUUUAAAAUUUAAUAUUUAAAUUUUGAAUAUUAAAAAUUUAAAACUUUAUUUAAACUUUAAAAUUAAAAUUCAAAUUCAAAUUAAAUAUUUUAAAAUAUAAAAAUUUAAAAAUGUAAAAUUUUAAAAUUUUAAAAUAUUUAACUUUAGAAUUUGAAAUUUGUAAUUUGAAAAUUAUAACUUAUAAUUUAAAAUUUUAAAAUUUUUAAAUGUUAAAUUUUAAAUUCUACCUAUCUCUCAAAAAAAAAAACUCAAACAUUUAAUUUUAUCCUAAAUUUUAAAUUCAAAAUUUAAAAUUUUAAAUAUAAAAUUUGAGAUUUUAAAUUCAAAAUUUAAAAUUUUAAAUAUAAAAUUUGAGAUUUUAAAUUCAAAAUUUAAAAUUUUGAAUUUAAAAUUUGAGAUAAAAUUUAAAUUUGAAAUAUAAUAUUAAAUUAAAAUUUACAAUUUAAAAUUUCAAUUUUAAAAGUUUAAAUUUUAAUUUUAAAAUUUAAAAUUUCAAAAUUUAAAUAUAAAUUAUAAUUUAAAAUUUUAAAAUUCAAAUAUAAAUUUAUAAUUUAAAAUUAUAAUUUGAAUCAAAAAUCAAAAUAAAAAUUUAAUGUUUGAGUCUAAAAUCAUAAUCAAAUUUUAGGAAGCAGGUUUAGUUGCUUCUGAUUUUUUAUCUCGAAAAUCAAAAAACUGAUUUUAAAAAUUAGAAUCAGAUUUUAAAAACGACAUUGCAAAUUGCUCUAUUGAGCUGGAAAUCGCUUUUGGGCCCAAAAAUACUUUAGCUCUUUUUCUCUCUUCAGUUUAAUCAACUGUUUUUCAUCAAAAUUUAUUUAAAUUUUUAUGGAUCUUAGAAUUGGAAGAUGUAAUAUUUAUAAAUGUAUAGAUAUGCAGGUAGCAUUUUUCUUAAUCAAAUGUAGAGCACAAUUAAAAUUUUAACUAUAUAAUAAAUUUGGACUAUAGAGUCUUAGGAGAAAAAAAAAAUCAAAUAAAUCUCGCUGGUCAAAACCGCAAAGUACAAUUUAUAAUUUAGAAUAAAUUUAAAUUGAUUGUAGAAUUUCUUAGCUUAAUUAAAUUACGUAACUUGGUGUAAUACUAUUGUGAACAACACAAUUUUAAAUUAAUCUAUUAUAAAAACUAUAACAAAAAAAUAAUAUUAACACAAGUGAGUAUAUCCACGCAUUGCAGCAAAUCAAUUAUGCAUAAGCAAAAAAAUAAAAGAAGCUGAAGAAAGAAGAAAUGGGAAAAGCAUAAGAAAAAUAAAAGAAAAGGCAAAAGAAUAAAAAAAUAAAAAAGUAGAAGAUGCUAAAGAAGAAGCGGAGCAUAAAAAGAAUAAAAGAAUAAAGAAAUAAAAACUACAAAAAUAAUUUAUUAUGUUUAUAGCAACAACAAAUAUAUAAAAAAGAAUAAAAUAAGAAGCUAAGAAAGAAAAACUGGUUGGAGCAACAGAAGAUAAAAAAAAAAAAAAAUGUUAUGCGUAUCGAUUGCAAAAGUAAAUUUUAAAUAUUAUAUUUCAAAUUUUAUUAUAAAAACUUAAAUUAUGUAAUUUUUUUAAAAAAAAUUGCCAAAUCAACCAAGGAGAGUGGAUUUUCAAAAAUCCGAAUCCGAACCCGACUUCCAACCCGAGACCCGAACCCGACGGAUUUUAAAAAUCUAUAUCCAAACUCGAACCCGACCAAAAAUCCGAAACCCGAACCCGAAUCCGGACCCGAAAAUUUGAACCCGAAAUAAUUAUUUCUUUUCAAUAUUUCAAAAUAUAUUAUAUUAAAUCUAAAUUUUUAAAAUACAAAUUCAAAUAUAACAUCAAAUAUAUAUAUAUAUAUAUAUAUAUAUAUAAAAUACAAAAUAAAUUCGGGUUCGAGUUGGGUACUGUCAAAAUCCAUAUUCGUCGGAUUUCCAUUUUUGAUAUCCAUUUUCGAAUUCAUAUCCAUUUAGCGUCAGAUAUAUCCGUUUCAUUGGGAUUCGACUUCUGAUAAAAUUUUAGGCAUCCAUACCCAUUGACAUCCCUAUGGGAGCCAAAGGAAAUUAAAAAAAAAAAAAGUCCGCUUGUUUAAAUCAGCUUGAUGGCUCCACAUUGAUUUAAACUGGGUUUUUAUAUAUGUAUGUAUAAUAAUAUAGAUACAGAUAUUCAUUUUUAUUAGAAAAAACUUCAAAAAACUCUCUUGUGGUUUCAAUUUUUUUCACGUUAGUAUCCCGUGGUUUAAAAUGUAUCAAGUUAGUACCCUAUGGUUUCGCACUUUAUUACUUUAGUACUCUGUGGUUUAAAGUGUAUCAAGUUAGUACCCUAUCGUUUUGCACUUUAUCACUUUAGUACCCUGUGGUUUUAAUUUUGUAUCAGAUUAGUACCCUGUAGUUUUUAAAUCACAGGAUACUAAAGUGAUAAACUGUGAAACCACAUGGUACUAAAGUGAUAAAGUGAGAAACCAUAUGGUACUAACUUGAUACACUUUAAACCACACGGUACUAAAGUGAUAAAGUGAGAAAUUACAGAGUACUAAUUUGAUACACUUUAAAUUAUAAGAUACUUAAAUGAAAAAAUGUAAAACCACAUGAGGUUUUUUUCGAAGUUUUUCCUUUUUAUUAAGUUGAUGGUUCCUUACGCACUAUUUUAAUACAUAUCAAAUACUUUCAUUGAUAAAUCCACCUGACAAAAUAAUAUUAAAAAAUUAGCUUCUAUAUAUAUAUAUAUAUUAUUUUUUUUUAAAUUGAUUACUUUUUCAUAUACGAGAUUGACUAAACACCAAAAGGUGAUGAUGUGGGAGGAUGUAAACAAUUCAUCAAUCAAUCUUAAAGAAACUUAGAAUGAUUUAUCGAUCUCUGUCUCUCAUAUUUCAAUUUGGGAAAUGAGAUAGCCCAAUCAUUUUAGUAUCAUGUAAUUUAGAGUGUAUAAAUUUAGUGUCCAAUAGUUUCAUAUUUAUCAUUUUAUUAUUGAUUUUACUAAUUUUUUAUUAAUUCAGUAAUAAAGUUAAAACUAAAGAAUAGUAAAGUGAAUAUUUGAUAAAGUUAGGUAGAAUAUCUGAAGUUUUUUGUAUAUAAUUUAACAAAAUUAAUGAAAAAGCCGACGAAAAGAUAAAAAUAAAACCAUAGGACACUAACUUGAUACACUUUAAACCACAGAGUACUAAGGUGAGAAAGUACGAAACCACAUGGGUGGUAUUUGAAGUUACCCUAAAUAAUUUUAUGCAAGGCUUGUUUUUGCUUUCGGUCCAUCAAAAAAAAAUUAUUUUCACAAAUGGCUUUAUCAAUUUUAUAAUUAUAAUUUUGAUAUUAUUCCCGUCACACAGGCUUCACAUAAGCGUUACCCGAGCAGGCUGAAAGGGGUGAAAUAAGUUAAACGCGGUAAUUCAUUCACCAUAUCUAGACACGGUAAAUAGUUUGUCGUGUCUAUUGUAUUAUGUUGGUUGACCGCAGGACAAUAUAAUUAUUGAACACAGUAAAUUAUUCACUGUAUUUGGAUACGAUAAAUAAUUUAUAGUAUUUAACUUAACACUGAACUCCAGUAUGCUUACGUAUAGCAUCUGCAUGGCGAGAACAGAACUUUGAAUUGUAAUUAUAAAAUUAGAGCUAUUUAUAAAAAUAAUUUUUUUUGGAGGACAAAAUUCUUUUUUUUUUUAAAAAGGCCCAACAUCGAACACGCACGCGCACACAAAAAAAAUACAAACGAAACACGCACACAAUUCAUAUCUGAACGCAACAGCUCUGCUCUGUAAUUCUCCCCUUUCGUUUUCCGCGCAAUAAAGAGGAAACAAACACGCACACAAUUCAUCUCUUUUUCUUUUUUUUUUUAUUUUUUUCGGGUCAAAAAUGUGAGGCCCCUCAAUAUUGAACUUUUUGAUUGCGAUUUCUCAACUAUCAAUUUCUUAAAAUUAAGAUAAUCUUAUCCAAAAACUAGUCGGAAUUUUCAUUUUUAGCGAUUUUAGUUAUUUUUCAGCAGAUAAAACUAAAAUAAUUAACAAUUAAUAAAAUAGGAUUAUAAAUUUUAAUAAAAUUUUCCAACAGACCUGUAGCUGAGAAAAAAGUCUUUAGGAUAAAAUAGUAAUUUCUUAAAAUAAAUUUUUUAUUGUAUUUAUGUGUAAUGUGGGAAUCUUCGGUUGAAUAUUAUUAUUUUCAUAUAAAAUAACUUUGAGGGAAGAGAUUUUUACAUAAACAUACUGUUAUUUAUUUUUUUAUUUUACUGCAAGGAACUAUCAUCUGCCAAAUAGAAAAAGUAAUAUUUUUUUUGUAAACCACAAGUAAAUAUAAUAUAAUACUUUGUGGUCCAACUACAUAUAUGCUAUUUUAAAAAAAAUAAAAAUAAAAUCAAAACUGCAAAAUAAUUUAACUUAAUCCACCUUGGACAAAUUGGAGUCUACUCUUUUUAUUAUGCAAUUUCCCCCUGUUCACAUUUCAUCUCAAAACGCAAGGUCUCUUUUUACAUUUAGCCCCCUCAAUUUUUUUUUUUUUUUUUUAUAAAUGGAUCUAUCAAAUUUAUAUUUACAUACAUGGUCCUCUUUUUACUAUACAAGCACUGCAUUGAUAAUUUUAAGUUGAACAAAAUAAUUAAAUCACCGUGUUAUCACCGUACUCAUAUUCACAAUUUAAUUCCUUUUUUACUUGGGAACAAUACUGUGAUCCAAUCACCGUAUUUAAUUUAAAGACGCCAUCUACGCGCUUACGUGCAAAUAUAAAUUCGUUAGAAUUAUUGAGUUUGGCUAUAGUGCUUGUAAAAGCACCAAACACUUGAUACUUGUAAAUUUUCUACCAUUAGAUCUACGUUUUUUAUUAUUUUCACCCGUUAAAUUAUACUAUUCAACCAAUCAUACACUCAAUGCUAGGGGCCCACAUCAUUCUAAUCGUACAUCCCUUAAUCCAAGGAUCGAAAGCUUACAAAUAUCAACGACUUAAUACUUUUAAAAAUAUGGAAGCUCAAUUCAGAAUAAUUAUAAAAAGAAUUUGAGGAUGUUAAAUACCAAAAAAAAAAAGAAAGCUCAAAACGCAACUUAUCACUAAUAGUAGUUUUUUAUUUUUUUCCCUUUCUUUGAGGUAAUUAAAACUCGCUUUAAUUUGGAAAAAAAAAGAAAAAACUUUAGUAAUAGGGAGUUCUGCAACGACACCUGAAGUAGAGACUUCUAUCUCCAUUUAAUAAAAUAAUAAUAAAAAAAAUUUGGCAUUAAAGGGAGCUAACCACCGAAGUUUCAUCUUUUUCCAAUUGAGCAGCCGAAAAGGGCAAAAGCGAAAGGCGAGAGGCGCUUUUUCCCCUUUUUCUUUUUUUUUUUUCUUUUUUUGCUUUCUGGUGCAGAACUCUUCUUUUAAUUGUUGCUGCUGUUGAUUGAUACGUCGGCGUGAAAGAAUGGCGAAAAGGGAGGGUGGGGCGAAGAAGCCACGCGGAGGGCAGCAGGACCGAUGGUGAGUAGCCGGUGGGGGCCCGCCAUAUCCAGAGGAGGGCCAGCGGGGAGGGGGUGGGGGGGGGGGAGGAGGAGACGGGUCUAAGUAGGUGCUGCUGCCGGCGGACACGUGCCCUUGCUUACUCGCGGUAGGUUCGUGUCGCCCUCCAAUCCCCUAGCUCAGUACCAAGUCCAACUAGCUUGCUUUCCCCCUCGCCCUCUUCUUCCAAAAGAUUCCUUUCGGCCACAUUUAUAAUUAAGGACAAUUUUAAAUACCAUUACUGUGUGAUUUAGUAUUUUUUUUAUUUUAGUAUUCUAUAAUUUGAGUCCGGCUACUAUACGAUAGUAACAAGUUUUUGAUAUUAUUAAGUUUUCUACCAUUAGAUUUACUUUUGAUCAUUUCCACUCGUUAGAUUAUACUAUUAAACCAACCACCCACUCAACCCUAGGGGACUACUAUCAAUUUAACCGGAAAUCACUAUCAUCCUAACCGCACAUCUAUUCAUCCAACGGCCGAAAACUCAAUAGUACCAAGGGCUUAGUACUAUUGAUAGUAUAGUAGCAUAAUUUCUAUAAUUUAAAGUAUAUUAUUUUUUUAUUCUGUGAUUUUAUUUUUUCUCUUUUUGUUAUCUCUUUCACUAUUUUUUUUUUUGUUAAAUCAAUGAUAAAGUUAGAACUAAAAGGUACUAAAGUGAAUAUUCGAUAAACUAUAGAUGGGGUAUCUGAAAAUUUUUGUAUAUGAUUUAACGAAAAGUUAACGGACGGAUUGACGAAAAGAGAAAAAUAAAACCAUAUGGUACUAAAUUGAUAUAUUUUAAACCAUAGGGUACUAGAGUCAGAAAGUGCGAAACCACAGGGAUGGGUAAACUUCAAAUAGCAUCUUUCGCACUUUCUCACUUUCGUAUCCUAGCUACCGUUUGGUUCGGGGUUAAGGAAAAACUAGUUAUUCCAGGGAUAGGGUUAAGUUCAGGUUUAAGGUGGGGUUAGGGUAUUUUUGUGUUUGGUCGAGAAUUGGAGCUAGUUCGGGAUUAAAGAAAAUAGUGUUUGGUUGGAGUAGGUGGGUAAGAAGGAUAGUGGGUAAAAUAGCGUUUUGUUUAGUUGGAGUAGUGGUGUGGGGUGUGGUUAGCUGCGGUUAGCUAACCCCACUCCAAAUGGGCUAUUCCGGGUUAGCCCAUUUGGGGUGGUUGAGGUGGAGUUAGCUAACCCCACCCCUCUAAAAUCAAUGUUUGGGAAUAAAACCGGGGUUAAGGGGUUUUCCCACCCCUUAACCCCAAACCAAACACAAGCCUAUAGUUUUUUUUUUUUUUUUUUUCGUGAGCUUCUAUGUUAAUAUUUCAUUAAAUUAUAUGUAAAAAAACUUCAGAAACCCCGCCUAGAUUUAUUGAAUAUUUAUUUUAGUAUCUUUUAGUUUUAACUUUGUUACUGAUUUAAUGAAAAAAUUAGUGGUGGGGAUAGUAAAAAGAGAAAAAUAAAACCACGAGUUAGUAAAUUGAUACGCUUUAAAACACAACGUACUAAAAUAAAAAAUGUGAAACCACAAGAAUAGUAUUUGAAGUUUUCCCUAAUUAUAAUAUGAGUACAGCUACUAUUCAUUUAAGAAUACGAAGUCGUUUUAGAUGAUAAGAAUCCCAAAUCGAUAAUUAGAACCGUUAGAGUUGAUCUAGAGUAUUUAUAAUGUUUAGAAACUAAAUUUCAUACAUUUUAAAUUCAUUAUCAAACUCAUUGAAAAGUUGCAAAAUAAACGAUUAAAAAUAAAUAACUUUGUGAAAAUAGAUGUUAGACUUCUUUAGUUUAUGAUCGGAAUUAUCAAACAUUAUUUAAAUAGUAUAAAGAAUUUUCUAUCAAAAAUUCAACCUGUUUAGAUUGUUCUACGCUGUUAGACAAGCAAACGGCUCAUAUAAGCCACCAAGAACUGUCGACUUUGUGAUCCUUUGAUCACUACGUAAAUAAUUUUCAAAAAUUCAUGAAAUUUAAUUUCUAGACAUUUUAAAUACAUUCUAGAUCAACAUUCUAGAUUAACUUUAACGAUUCUGAUCAUCGAUUCGAAAUCCUUAUCACCUAAAAUGAUUUAGGAGGACGAAGGCUUCCGUCCUUCUAAAAAAAUAGUAGCUGGAUUCAUUAUAAUAUAUAUUAGAUUCUAAUGAUCAAAGUAUAAUUUUAAGGAAUAAUUAUUUAUAGAGUAGAACUACUAGGCUUUUAGAAGUAUUAAAAAGUUAGUGCUUCCGACUAUUUAACUCUUGGAUCAACUUUUUUUUGACUAUUUCUAAUCUUUUGAUUAAUAUUAUUCUUCCGUGGAAACAUCUCAAUCCUGGAGAAACCACUCAACUUUAGAAGGGACCACUAUCAUCCCAACCGUAUAAUAUUCUUGAUCCAAUGGCUAAAAAGUCAAAAGCACUCACUCUUUUAUGUUUCCGAAAGUAUGGUAGCUCUAUGCAUUAUCUAUAUAUCUUUUAAAACUUUUGAAAUAUUAUAUAUUAUUAUUAUUUUUUUAUCUUAAAUAUGCAUCUCGUUUAUUUUUUCUGUUAUUUAAAAAUAGUUUCGCUGUUAGUAUCCAUUAAGUCAUUUCGAAUUAAAUCUGAGAUAAGUUUUUUAUCCCCACUUAGGGCGUGUUUGGUUCACUUCUUUUUCACCUGGGAAUUGGAAUCGGAAUGACGAAUCCGUUUGUGGGUGUUUGGUACGCAGGAGUCCCAUUCUGAUUCCGAUUUUUGAGUGGAAUGGGAAUCCUCCAAUCAUUGAAAGUUCAAUCCGGACGAAAUAGAUAUUUAUUUGGAUUAAAUUUAUUUUUUUCAACUUUUUAAUUAAAAUAUAAGUUUAAAUUUAGAAAUUAAAUAUAUAAUUUUAAUUUUUAAUUUGAACUUGAAUUAAAAAUUAAAACUUCAUCAAGUAUUUCGAAUCUAACUGUGAGACCCCAGAUAGUCAUAUAUAUGAGAUAUAAUAGGGCUAAACUCUUAACCUGGCUUAAGCAUUUUGGGUGGUGGUAAGGCCCAAGAGGUUAAGAGAGUUAAGCGUGCUAGGACGGGAGUAGUCCUAGGAUGGGCGACCCCCUGGGAAGUUGGGGCGUCACAGAUGGUAUCAGAGCCAAUUACCAGCCGGAAGUGUGAGAUUAGUCUUGGCUGAGCCAGUGUCUGGAUGACGGGUUAGUGAGAUGAGUCUCACAUCGCCUGGUACUUGUGAGUCUGAGCCUGACGAGGACGUCAGGGCUUAAAGGAGAGGAGAUUGUGAAACCCCAGAUAGUCCUAUAUAUGAGAUAUAAUAGGGCUAAACUCUUAAUCCGACUUAAGCAUUUUGGGUGGUGGCUAGACCCAAGAGGUUAAGAGAGUUAAGUGUGUAGGACGGGAGUAGUCCUAGGAUGGGUGACGCCCUGGGAAGUCGGGACGUCACAUAACUUAUGAAUUUGAAUUUAAAUUAAAUUUUAAUUUACAUAAAAUUUUAUUUAAAACUUAAAUUAAAUUUAUGGAUUCAAAUUAAAAUUUAAAUUGUAAUUUUAAUUUUGAAUUUGAAUAAAUCGAAAUUUAGUUUUAUAUUUUAAAUUAUCCACUCAACUUCAAAGUUUAAUUUUUAAAAAAAAAAUAUAUUUAAAAUUUUGACAUUAUUUCAAAAUUUUGAUGUAAAUUUUUAAUAUUUAAUUUUCAAAUUGAAUUUAAAUUAAUAUAUUAUAAAGAUAAAGUUAGUAUAUUAAUUUGAUUACGUUUUUUAUAUCUACCUGAACUAAAUACCGACAAUGGGAAUGAUUUAUUCAGAUUUCGAUUUAGGUGAUGAAUCAAACAAAAUUAGGUAACGCAUCAUUCCAAUUCUGAUUCCAGUUUAUUCCAAUUCCGAUUCUGAUUCUGAUUCCGACUUCGAAUCAAACACGCCCUUAAAUGCAAAUAAGAAAAAUUGAUAAAGGUAAAAGGAUAUAUUUGAAAGGGUAAAAAGUCAAAAUACUUUUUAUAUUCCCUAGUUUAAAGACAAAUAAGAAAAGUUGGUGACUAUAAAAAGAUACAUUUGAAAUGGUAAAAUAGUAAUUUUACAUAAAUAAAGGUUGUUACUAAUCGUUCACUAACUGAAUUUAACUCUAUGGACAUGUUUGGUUCGACGUUGGAAUUGGAAUCGGAAUCGAAAUAAGCUGAAAUCAGAAUCGGAAUAACUUAUUACCUAAUUUUGUUUGGUUUAUCACCUAAAUCGGAAUCAGAAUAAAUCAUUUCCAUUGUCCGUGUUUGGUUCAGAUAGAUAUAAAAAACACAAUCAAAUUAAUAUACUAACUUUAUCUUUAUAAUAUAUUAAUUUAAAUUCAAUUUAAAAAUUAAAUAUUAAAAAUUUACAUCAAAACUUAUGUGCUAUUAGAAGCACGGAGACCUUCAUGCUCUUAAACCGUUUUCGACGAUAGAGCUUCGGAAUCGACUAUUGGUUUCGUUAGACUUGAUUUAGUGUAUUUGAAAUAUCUAAAAAAUAAUUUUUGUCAUUUUUGGAUAUCAUUUAUCUAGCAAUCAAAAGGGUUCAAAAUCAACUGCUAAAAAUAAAAAUCUCAUAAAAAGUUGUGAUAUAGCACUAAAAUUUUUAAUCAGAGAUAUUGAUCUUACAGUAAAUAGUAUAAAAAAUUUUCUAUCAAAAGUUCAUUUGAUUUUAAUACUUCUAUGUCGUUAAACUUGCAAAUGAUAUAUAUCAAAUAUUAAAAAUUAUUGAUUUGGAACCCUUUCGAUCGUUAGGUAAAUGAUAUCGAAAAAUCACAAAAUUUAUUUUCUAUAUACUUUUAAUAAACUAAAUCAAAUAUAAUGGAGCCGAUUACUAAUUCGAAAUCUCCAUCAUCGAAAACGACUUAGGAGCACAGAAACAAGCACACAACACAAGACCUACUUACUAUGUAUAUAUAUAGAAGGAUAUACAAAAUAUAUUAUUUACCAAUCAUAUUAUGGCAAAUGAGAUGGAGAAGCGAAACAAUUAUGAUAAUUGUACAUUAAAAUAAUUUUUAUUUUUUUCUUAUACUUUUAUGCAAUGUUGUGACACCUCUCUCUCUCUCUCUCUCUCUCUCUCUCUCUCUCUCUCUCUCUAACUGCUGAGAUAAAGUGCCUUAGUAAUAAACUAUUCCAUAAACACUUUAUCCUUUUCUUUUAAAAUUACAAAGAAAAACUUUAUAUAAAAAUUAACAUAGGUCUCAUUAUUUAUUUAUGGAAAGUGAAUGCUCGCAAUAAAUUCUUAUUUUUCUUAUCCCUACUACUCAAAAUCAAAGGUUAGAUCAGGAAAAAGGUUUUGCACUCUAACCCUAUUAGCUAUCCAACCGGCGACUAAAUUACAUUAUCUAAAGUAAUGUUUAAACAAGAUUUCAUCAAAAUGAUUAUAAAAGAAUUGGAUGUCCAAAAAGAGAUGCCUUUUUUUACCAUGGUAUCUUCCCUUUCCUCAAGUCAAUUAUGUACUUCAAUUUAAAUAAUAUUCUAAGUAAUCAAAUCAUAAUUUUAGGCUUAAUAUAGAAGUGGUAUGUGAAUGAAAAAGUGAAACAGGUGAUAGGAAUCGAGUCUUUAUAAAAUAGUUUAUUAGUGUAUGUUUCAUAUGACUCCAACUCUCUCUCUCUCUUUCUCUAUCUCUAUCUCUCUCUCUCUUGUGUGAAAGGGGUUUCUUAACCACUUUUAAUUAUUUCAAUUAGAACUUCUUUCAGUGCAAUCUCUGUUGAGUUAGGUGGAAUUCGCCAUCUUAGUAAUAAUGUAGUAGAAAUAAUAUUCUUGAAAACUAAUUCUUACUAAUCAAAUAAUGAACAUUUUUUUUUUUUUCCUUUACAAUUGAUUUUAGAAACUAUGUAAUGUUUGGAUAUAAUACAAUUUGAAAAUUCAUUUGUUUAUACGUUCAAAAGAAAUAAAAAAACAAAAGAAAACUCCCUGUUCCAAUCAAAACAUAAACCUAUUCUCCAGCAUCAGCAAUUUCUGAUUAGCAAAUAGUUUGUGCUUAGUUGAAGAAGAUUUUUAGGGCGUGUUUAGAUGCAUGAAUAUCUUAGUCAAUAUAUUAUUUUAAAUUUUAUAAAUCUUGUUUAAAUUAGUGGAAUAAAUUAUUCAAUAAUAACUCUUUUUCUUAGAAAAUACUGAAAAACUAUUUACAAGAAAAAAAAAAAGUUCUUCAUGGAAAACACCCUUUCCAAAGUUUUGGUCUCCCGUAUAAAUAAUUUGGAAAAUAAAAAGACCUUUCAAUGAAAUAUGAACUUUCCACCAAAAAAAUCAUUUUCUGUGAUCUUUUGCAGAGAACCAAACACUCCCAGUAGGGUGGAAAUGAGCCGAGCUUGAGCAAGCUUACCUCAGCUUAAGCUUGACUUGAAAUUAACUUUGAGUCUAAAUUUAGGCUCAAGUUGGGCUUGAAAUUAAUUCGAGCCGAGCUCGAGCAAGCUUAACUUCGAGUCGAGCGAGCUUGAGUCCUAAACGAGCCACUUGAAAUUCUCAAUAUCACGCAAUCUAUAGCUUAAUUUUUAUAAAACAUUAUCUUUAAAACAAAAAAUAUCUAACAGUUCGACAUACAAAAUAAAUACAUGAAAUACAGUAUUAUAAUAUUAAAAAAUAUUAGGGAAAGCGACUCUGUGAGCAAGUGAAAAAGGGAGAGCAAUUAGAAUAGGAUUUUGCUGGUUUGGUUUUNCGGAGUCCGAUACGCACCAGAAGCCAACUCUACUCCGUGGCUUCCCCGAAAAACCGGAGUUACUAUUCACUUAAGUGAAAACUAAAAGUCGCGUAUCUUCUCCAUUUUAGCUCAUUUUCGCCCGAAACUUGACGAGUGCUUAUGUAAUUAAAUUACACACAUAAACAUCAUCAACAGAGAGUUUAGUUGCACUGUCAAAAAUCUCAGUCCUUACAUAUAUAGUCUGAAGCCUAUACUCUUAUGAGUAUAGACUUUUUUGUAUUCAUAUAUUUUCGGCUGUUAGAUCUAUCCCUUUAACCAUUUUCACUUAUUAGAUCAUAUUAUUCGAUCAACCACCCACUCAUCUCUAGAAGACCACUAUCAUCCUAAUCGAGAACCACUAUCAUCCUAACUGCCCAUUUUUUCAUCCAAUGAUCGAAAAUUUAUGAAUACAAAAGGAUAUUAGUGUACCUUUCAUAUGGCUUCAACACUCUCUCUCUCUCUCUCUCUCUCAUGAAAAGGGUUUCUUAACCACUUUUAAUUAUUUCAAUUAGAACUUCUUUCAGCGCAAUCUCUGUUGAGUUAGGUGGAAUUCGCCAUCUUAGUAAUAAUGUAGUAGAAAUAAUAUUCUUGAAAACUAAUUCUUACUAAUCAAAUAAUGAACCUUUUUUUUUUCCUUUACAAUUGAUUUUAGAAACUACGUAAUGUUUGGAUAUAAUACAAUUUGAAAAUUCAUUUUUUUAUAUGUUCAAAAGAAAUAAAAAACAAAAGAAAACUCCUUGUUCCAAUCAACACAUAACCCUAUUCUCCAGCAUAGCAACUUCUGUUUAGCAAAUUGUUUGUGCUUAGUUGAAUAAGAUUUUUAAGGCAUGUCUAGAUGGGGUCCGGCUACUAUACUAUUAUGAGUACGAUCGCCCUCGUACUCAUAAAUUGUUUUCGAUGAUAGAGCUUCCGAAUCGACGAUCCACACAGUUAAACGUUAUUUACAGCAUUUAAAAACUUCUAGAAAUCAAAUUUUAUAAUUUUUCGUCAUCAUUUACCUUACGAUCAAGAGGUCACAAAUUUGACAAUUUUUAACGGCCGGUAUGAGAUACUUGCUAGUUUAACGGUGUAAAAGAAUCGGAAUUUGUUGAAUUUUUGAUAGAAAAUUCUAUUCACUGCAUAGAUAAAGAUCAAUAACUCCGAUCUUGAAUUGAAAGAUCCGAUCAUCCUUUUUUAGAAUGUCGUUCGAUUUUGACCGUUCAUUUUAUACCCACUUAAUGGACUUUAUUAUGAUUUCGAAAAUUUACAAAAUUUAUUUUCUAGAAGUUUCAAAUACUCUAGAUCAUAUAUAACGGAGUGGAUCGUCGAUUCGGAAGCUCCAUCAUUGAAAACAACUUAUGAGUACGAGAGCUCCAAUACUCAUAAUAGUAUAGUAGCCAUGGCCGUCUAGAUGCAUGAAUAUCUUAGUCAAUAUAUUAUUUUAAAUUUUCAUAAAUGUCAUUUAAAUAAUGGAAUAAAUUAUUCAAUAAUAACUUUUUUUCUUAGAAAAUCAUGAAAAAUUAUUUACGAGAAAAGAAAAUAUUCUUCAUAGAAAACAUCCUUUCCAAAGUUUUGGCCCCACGGAUAAAUAAUUUGAAAAAUAAAAAAGACCUUUCAAUGAAAUAUGAAAAUUUCCUUUUUAGAAAAACUACUCUUUCUGGAAAUCUAGCGGACUAAAAAUAUUUUCCACCAAAAAAAUUAUUUUCUGUGAUUUUUGCGGAGAACCAAACACUCCCGAUAGGGGGUGGAAACGAGCUGAGCUUGAGCGAGCUUAUCUUAGCUCAAGUUUGGCUUGAAAUUAACUUCGAUCUAAAUUUAGACACAAGCCGGGCUUGAAAUUAAUUCGAGCCAAGCUCGAGCGAGCUUAACUUCGAGUCGAGCGAGCUCAAGUCCUAAAUAAGACCCUUGAAAUUCUCAAUAUCAUACAAUCUAUAGCUUAAUUUUUAUAAAAUAUUAUCUUUAAUACAAAAAAAUGUUUAAUAAUUCAACAUACAAAAUAAAUAUAUGAAAUACGAUAUUAUAAUAUUAAAAAAAAUUAGGAAAAGCGACUCUGCAAGCAAGUGAAAGAGAGAGAGCAAUUAUAGUAUAAUUUUACUAGGUUGGUUUUGUGGGCCAACAAAUAUGCCCAAUAACCUAAACUCUAUAUACAUAUAAUUAAAAUACAUAAUAUAUACUAUUAUAUAUAAUUAAAAUAUACAUUAUAUAUAAUUUUAUAUAUAGAGAGAGAGAUAGAGAUAAAAUUAGAUUACUAUACUAUUAUAGAGAUAAAAUUGGUGCUAUUAGAUUUGGAUAUGUGGCUGAUGAUAGUGGUUCCUAAUUAGGAUGAUAUUGGUCCUCGUGACUUGAGCGAGUGGUUGUUGAAUAGUAUGAUCUAACAGGUGAAAAGAGUCAAAGAAAGAGAUCUAAUGGAUAGUACUAUAGUAGCCGGACUCUCUCUCUCUCUAUAUAUAAAUAUAGAAUUGUGCUGGAAUACUAUUCAUAAUAUUUAAGCUUUUUUUACUACUAACUUUCUAACCCUCAGAUAAAAAAUUGCAAGGUUGGGAUAAUGGUGAUCUCUUAUUAGUGGUGAUCCCCUAGAGUUUGAGUGAGUGGUCGAUAGAUUUAGUAUACCAGUAAUACUCAUAUCACUAGGUGCACCAGAUUGUCUAUCUAUCUAUUAUAAACAAACUUUGAACAAAAAACUUCUCAAAUUAUAGCAUACCUAUGGAAUAUAUAUAACAUUAAAAAAUCCUAACAUAUAAAAAAUCAUGAAUUUUGGGCAGUUACUUUACAAACAUUAAAUAAAUGUCACUUGCAGUGUAUGGAUGAUCGAGUGCAUCAGGUGCAUAUAAAAUCUUUUUUUUUUAAUCUCUCUUCCUCCCACUUAAUGACAUGGUGAUUAUACGGUAAUAACUGAAAUAUCAUAUUAUCACCAUGAGAUCAUAUUGGUAUGUUGUGAUAAUAACUAAAAUAUCAUAUCACUACCAACAUCAGCGUUACUCCGUUAUUCAGUCAACUUAAUUGAACUGAAAGAUUUGAUUACAAUAAUUUAGAAAGUUUAGGUCAAAAAAUGCAGAAAAUAAGAGUUUGAAAAAUCAAGAUUUUUGCUUUCUAAGGCUUAGUUUGGUAUUGAGAUCUAUCUAACGCUAUUAGAUAAAAUAGAGUUGAGGAAAAAGCAUAUAGGGAUAUGCUUUUGCGUUCUCCAGUGGAACCGCAAAAAAUAUAUCGUAACCUAACUCAUCGCGAUAUGCGGAAUGCAAUAUUACGUACGAAAACAAACAGGAUAUUUUCCCAUCAAACAGGAUAUUUUCCCAUCGUCGUUUCUCAUCGCACGUAACGCAAUCUUCCCGCAAUCCCAAACGAAGCGUAAGGCUUAGUUUGGUAUUGAGGUCUAUCUAACGCUAUUAGAUAAAAUGGAGUUGAGGAAAAAGCAUAUAGAGAUAUGCUUCUACGUUCUCCAGUAGGACCACAGAAAAUAUAUCGUAACCAACUCAUCGCGAUAUGCGGAACGCAAUAUUACGUACGGAAACAAACAGGGUAUUUUUCCAUCGUCGUUUCUCACCGCACAUAACGCAAUCUCCCCGCAAUCCCAAACGAAGCCUAAGUUUGUCGCCUUUUCUGGCUUUUUCUCCAAGACAUGUUCUUCAAGUUUUUUUCAAUAAGUCACCAUGAAACCCACUAAUCCGGCCCAUGCAUGUUUAACCUGGUCACUCCAAAAUUCAUUUUAAGCUCAUGCGCUUGACUCUUGCUUCUCGAGCUUUAAUGCUUUUGAAUGCACCAACCAUUUGAGCCCAUACCACUUCACCGCGAACCCACUCAUCUAAUGCAUGUGUGUUUAACCUGCGCCACUCGAAAAUUCAUCUGAGCCCAUGCGCCUGAUUCUCGCUUCUCGAGCCUAACUGCUUUUCGAAUACACUAACCAUUUGAGCCCAUAAGCCUAACUUGCGCCUCCGGAGCCUAAUUCUUUUCAAUGCACACGACUCCGCUCCCUGAACCCGUAAUGUUAGUAAAAGUCACCAACCAAUCUCACUACACCACUUACACGAGUAGCCUAGAAUCAUUGAACCAUCGGCUCUAAUGCCUCUUGUUAGAAAGUUUCUAGGCCCAGCUUAUUCCCAUAUGAGCCCAAGGAUGUGGCAUAUCUCAGGAAACUCACAAUUCACAUGUGAAUUCUUAACACUUUUUAGAUCUUGCCCAUUGUGAGUUACGAGCAAUGUUGAGACACUUUGAUAAAAUAUUAUCUACUCUAAGUGCAAUAUUCGUAUGUUCAUGCAUUUUAGAUCCAUUUCAAUCUAUUAAAUUAUAUAUAUUCAUGCAUUGUUGAUCCAUUUCUUUUUUGAGAGAGAGAAAGAGAUAGAUAACACGCUACCCGCUUCGUUUAUUUCAUUUAGAAAUAAACUUAGUUGGAAAUAUAAAUCAACUAGAUUUCAAUCUAUUAAAUUGUAUGAAACAAUUAUUCUUAACCAUUAUUUUUCUUCAAAAACAUAUGCUAUCAAAUAAUGAUUUUUUUAAUAAUUAAUUAAUUAUAUUCAAUACUCUAUCUCAUAUUUGGUAUGGUGAAACUCGAACCCAUCAAGACUAUUGUUUUGAUACCAUAUUAAAGUACAUGAAAUAAUCGCUAUUCUUCAAAAAAUUAAUCUACCACAGAAAAGUGUAUUUAAUAAUUAUAUUCAACAAAAUUGUUAUUGGGAUUUGGGAGCCGAACAAUUUCCAAAUUAGUUGACCGAGUCAAACAUUGACUGAGUGGAACUCCCACUGACUUACAACUUGGCUCAAGAAGUGACCCUCGGUUGAUAAAAUCAAGCAAUAGGUUAAAGAGGGCUUCGCUCAACCAAAUUCCUUCUUAAUAUGUAAAAGCUUUUGGAGAUGAAUCAAACUCAAAUUUUUUGCACAAAUUCCUCUGAAGUAAGAGCCAAACUAGAGCUAAAUUUCAUUAAAAUUACAAGGAAAGAGCAAGAGGGCUCAGUUUACAGAGAUCUAGGCUAAAGACGAAGGAUUUAUAAUUCGGCUCUUUGUGAAUGUGAUGUGCUAGAGUGAAGAAUAUAUAUAUAGUGGAGAACAAGAAGGCUCAGUUUUUGAUUGCAUAUCAUGUUUGUGACACCAUAUUAUUCGCAUAUUGGAUUGAUAAGGGAUUACGACGGAGUGCAUACUGCAUAAGAAUGAUAUAACUAAGUUUAAGCAUUUUAAACUAAUGAUACUUGAAUUACAUUCAGACCAAGCAAACACUGGCAUGCAUGAACUACGACUAGCUAGACUGCGAUGAUCCUACGAUUACUGACGGCGUGCUUCGAGGGCUCCACUGCCUGGCAUUCCCGGCACGCCGACACCACGAAUCUGAACAAACCCUUCUGCUUCUGCCACCGCCGCCGAUGCCUCUUGCCUUCCCUCCUCUGCAUUCCCUUCUCCUCCCUCUCCGACCUGCUCGUCGGCUCCGCCAGCAGGAACGUCACGCGCUUCGGCGCCCCCGACCCCCUCCCGCUCUUCUUCUUCAGCAGGACCGUGCCGUGAUCGUCAGCGGCAGCCAAGACGUCGGAAAGGGACGGAGAUUCCUGUCCAGCACCAGCAGCAGCAGUAGGGAAGAACUCGAAGCUGGAGUCGCCUGUUGGAGCCGUGGUUUUCGGGCUUCUGCUUUCGGUUUGGUGGCUCGCGACCGCGCAUCCCGCCAUGAAUGCGAAGGAGAGGUCGUCGGCCGUGUCCAUUGCUGAGUGCACGUACUUGGAGAAGCUGUAUAGGUACAUUAACAUAGAGUUAGGUUUGUAGUGAGAGGGGGAUGAUAAAUACGAGAAUGAGUGGUUAAAAGAUGUGGUUAAUUUGGGCCACAAGCUUAAAGUUGUUUUUUGUUCAUUUGUUUCCAAGUUCUUGUUGUGUUCUUUUCUGUAUAGCAAGUGGUACGUGUUUAGCUUUUAGGCCGGCAAAAAAUAAGGAUGGAUAUGAGAGACUCGAUCAAAGAUUCCAACCGGCUUGAUCUUGCUCUUAAAUAGACAUUAAAAACUAUGAUCUGCCGCGUCUGCCACACGGUAGCGGGUAACGGCGUAUAUUUUAACAGGAGUAAGUGGCAAAGAACUUUGUGGUUGAUAUCCGAAGUCCCAAGUUCGAAUUCUAGUUGAUUCACAUUUCUAACUGAGUUUAUUUCUAAAUGAAAUAAACGAAGCGGGUCAGCCUAUCUCUCUAAAAAAAAAAUAAAAAUGAAGGGGUAUCGAUUUUGUGUAUGGAUGAGAAUUAGAUUAUUCAGGAGUAAGAAAAAUUAUGUUUGAAUGGUUAGAUUGGAAUAAUACGAAUAAGAUUAGUUAUAGUUGUAAACUAAUAAUAUUUUAUCUAAAUAAUAAGCAUAAAUUUUAAAAUUAUUAAUAAAAUAAUAUUUUAACAAGUUAAUUAAUUAACUAACUAAGGAUACUGUAUAAGAUGAUGAAGAAGCAUGUUAAUUAGUUACAAUAACUAAUUAAUUAAUUAUUUAAUAUUAUUAUGUAUUUAGUUGAAAUAUUAAUUACUAAAUUAAUAUAAAUUCUAGUGAUUACUUGAAUAAACAUAUUAAAUUAGUUCGUUAUUUAAUUUGCUAGAUUAUAAAUAAUAAAUUAUUUGUUCAAGUAUUUACUUAACUAUGUGUUAAAUUUAAUAAGUCACAAGUUGUUAAUAGUUAUUGAAUAAGUUAAUUAGUUAUUAAUUAACAAUGUUUUAAAAUUAUUUAGAAACUAAUUAAUAGAAAAAAUAUUUAAGAAUUUGAUCUGUUAAAAAUUUAAUUAGUUAAAAAAAUAAAUAUAUAAUAUACUAGUUAUCAUAGCUUAAUAAAUAAAUCAUUAUUAAUAGGGGAGAAUAAAGAUAAGAGCAAUUAUUCUAUGGAGAGGCAAGAAUAAUAAUUCUCCUCUCCCAACAUAUUAUUCUAGAAUAACUGAUUGAGGUUUGAGAGAGGGGUCUCACGUUGUUGGUCCGAUAGAAGACGACGGGAUGUUUCAGACAACCAGCAAAAAUAUCGAAUGACAUUCAUAGAAAAAACCGACCGUCCCUAAAGCAAGUGGCAAAGGACUUGAUUAAAGAUGUCAACGGGUCGGAUUCGGGAUGGAUUUUUAAAAAUCCGAAUUCGAACCCGACUCCAAACUCGAGACCCGAACCCGAACUCGAACCCGACGGAAUUUAAAAAUCCAUAUCCAAAUUCGAACCCGACCAAAAAUCCGAAACUCAAACCCGAACCCGAACCCAAAAAUUUGAACCCGAAAUAAUUAUUUUCUUUUUCAAUUUUUCAAAAUAUAUUAUAUUAAAUCUAAAUUUUUAAAAUAUAAAAAAAUAUAACAUCAAAUAUAUAUAUAUAUAUAUAUAUAUAUAUAUUCGGGUUCAAAUUUUCGGGUUCGGAUUUGAGUCGGGUACAAUCAAAAUCCAUAUCCGAAUCCAUAUCCGUCGGGUUUCUAUUUUUGAUAUCCAUAUCCGAAUCCAUAUCCAUAUCCAUCAGAUAUAUCCGCUUCAUUCGGGUUCGGGUUCGAAUAAAAUUUCGGGUAUCCAUACUCAUUGACAUCCCUAGGCUUGAUGGUUGGUAUCCGAGACCCAAGUUCGAAUCCUAGUUGAUUCACAUUUUCAGCUAAGUUUAUUUCUAAAUGAAAUAAACUAAGCGGAUAGCGUGCUACCUAUCUCUCCAAAAAAAAAAAAAAAAAAAAAAGACAUCCAUAGUAAAAAAAGGUAAAAAAAAAAAACGUAAAAUGGGCCAGGUGGCUAGUAGGCCGUCCAGCCUGACGCGAUAGCGGGUCAGGCCGUGGCCUGGCAUCGAUGCUGGUUGUAUUUGAGCCAGACCCUCUAGGCCAGCCAGCCCAGCAUGGCAAUUGCCGCGACGGGUCUAGGUCGUGUCGGGCAAUAGGUUGGCCGGUGGCCCGACACGGAGAAGGGGUGGACUUUUUGUACAAUUUGGACCAAAAUAACCUCCACAAUUUUUUUUUUUUUUUUUUUUUUUGAGAGAGAUAGAUAGCAUGGUAUUCACUUUAUUUAUUUUAUUUAAAAAUAAAUUUAGAUGAAAAUGUGAAUCAUUAAUUACAGGGUAUUAAAGUAAUAUUCAAUAAACCAUAGGUAGGGUAUCUGAAGUUUUUUUUCUAUAUAAUUUAAUGAAGAGUUAACAAAGGUGCUGACGGAAAGAGAAAAAUAAAACUAUAGGAUAUUAAAGUGAUACACUUUAAGCUAUAGGGUACUAAAGUGAGAAAGUGCGAAAUUAGAGGGUGGUAUUUGAAGUUUUUUCUAGAUUCUAUGACUCAAUUAACUAUUAGAAUGAGUGUUACUUUUUUUUUUUAAUUUAAUUCGGUUUAAAAUAGUUUAAUCUGCCAAAUUUAAUGAACUUAUCAAUUAAUUUGGUAAAAUUUCUAAUUUAUUCCGCUAAAAUCAUUCAAUUUUAAAAAUAAAAGUUGAAGUUUCUCAAUCAAAGUAGCCUUUAACUGUUUUGUAAUGAACAAAAUUAGAAUAAUUAGCUAUAUAUUUAUGGCUAAUUCCGACAAAAAAAUUAAUAUUUUUUAAUUUAAUAAAAUUAAAAAUUCAGGAAAAAUUCGAAAUUAAAGGAUCUCAACAUUAAAAAAAAUCAAAAAAUCAAAUCGAGUCCAUUUGACGACUCUGCAUGGUUGAGGGGGUUUCCACUUUCCAUCCAUCUAUUACUAUAUACUAAAGUGCGUGGGGUAUUCUUCGUUUAUUGAUAUGUGUCUGACUCAAUUAUUUGGUAUACCCGGUGCAUCGUAGACCGUUGAUUGUGAACAUAUGUAUGGCGUAUGGGAUAAUGUUGGGCGCAUCUCGUCUAUUCUUUUUUAUUUUUAAAUCCUAAACUAUAUAAAAUUUUGAGUUAUUUUUCUAAAUUGGUUAUUGCCUAUCAACUAUUAAACUAAUUAGAGUACUCCAUUUUUUUUGUUAUUUAUCUAUUGUAAGUCCAAAUUUUAGAACAAAUUAUAUUUAAUUUCUUCACAUUGGUGGUUAAUUGUGCUAAAUUUAGAAAUUUCUUACAAAAUUAAAUAUAUGUUAAUAAAUUCUAAAUAGAAAUUAUAAAGUCGGUCAAUUAACCACCAAUGUGAAGAAAUUAAAUAUAAUUUGUUCUAAAUUUAGAAAUUUCUUACAAAAUUAAAUAUAUGUUAAUAAAUUCUAAAUAGAAAUUAUAAAGUCGGUCAAUUAAAAACCUAUGAAUUAAGUAACUACUUUUUAUUUUAUUAUAAUAUUUUCAAUUCUCGAUAUUGCUUACAUGAGUCGACAAAAAUUAUCUGAAUAGAGUUAGAAGAAUAAAAUUUUUUAAAAAAACACAAAAAGAGGAUAUAUAUCUUUUGGACAAACUGGUCCAAAAAUAAGAAUAUUACAAACUUUUCCUUUUUACUUCAGAAAAUUUUCAAAGUUUAUAGAACCCCCAAUAAUUUAAAUAAGAACUAUCAAAUAGUUAGAUACAAAAUAUGUAACAAAAUUUUAUAUUUUGAAAUCAAAUAUUAAUAAAAAAUAUAUAUAUUAAAAAAUAUAUUAUAUUUUAGAAAUAUAAUUAAAAAUAUAUCAAUUUUAUCUGCGAUAAAGCGCGGACACAUUGCUAAUAUUUACGUGUCAUUGACUCAUUGGAGGUCGCCCAAUAUUCCCAAUCUCCCACCGUUUGCCUCAAACAUGUGGCCUUCUCCUAUUGGCCCAAUAGUUGGGGCUGUAGAAAAUAAAAAAGUUAAAAAUGCACCGAGCAUAUUAUUAAUGGGUCAUUUCCAACUAAUCAGACUAUUGUUCUUAAAUUUAUCCAUCUCAUCAUAAUUAUUAAAAAUUAUUUUUAUUAUACUUUUUUCCUCAAAUAAAAAUAUGUGAUUGGUUAUUUAUUGAUGAUGUGGUGUAAAUGUUCUAUUAUACACUUUCUUAUAAAAAAUCGCUAUACUAUAAUGUGUAUAUAAUUUGAACCUUCUUUGUUCCUAGUGCGCAAGAUAUACAGGUAAUGUUUGAUUUUUUUUACAAUUUUAUUUCUGUAACUUAUUACCAUGAUAUAACAUUUUUUUCCCAUUUAGUUGGCAUAGUAAUAAUAUCAUGUCAAAAUGCUACAAAUAUUAAAUUAAUCAGGCUCUAUAGCCUCUAUUUGAGCACACUCGAACAUAUUUCAAUUUUUUUUUAUACAAUAGUAUAAGAAUUUGUCUGAAAUAUCAUUAUUUUUGGAUUAAAAACUUUAUGUCGGAGGUGUUUGGAUCACUUUAAUCUUUUAAUUAGGUCUCACAAAAAGUGGUCGAGUUCUAGAAAGAGAAAGUUUUUGGCCAAUUUCCAUUAUUAUUAUUUUUUUAUCAGAAAGUAGGAGAAUAAAUGGUUAUGGUAGCACUCAUUUAUUGAUUUACAUUAAAAUGACAUAGGUUCAAACUCUUUGAUAUGCCAAAAUUAUACAGGAUUAUUAUGAUCACUGUGUUGUAUCUUGCACUUUUACAAAGAGAACCCAUAUAGCUCUUUUUUUAAAAAAAUACUUUACUAAUCAAAACACCUUAUAUUAAACAAAUACUUUAUUUUCACGUGAUACGCAAACAGAACCUAGAUCGUUUAGUUUGCAAAAAUGAAUAGUACGUACUGUGGUUGUUUGGUCCAAUUUUUGCUCGCUAGGUCUAGAAGCAUGUUUUUCAAAUUUUUUUUAUUUGCAAAAUCUUGGUGCCUUUUGGUAUUAGCAAAAGGCCACAUUCAGCAGCUUUACUGCAAAAGUCUCCUCUACAAGAGUUUCUGCGAUACAAGAAAAAGACAAAACAUAGUCUUUUCACAUUGAGGCCCUUUGCAUAUCUGAUAACGAAGCGUAGUUAAAUUCUAUUACACUGAUAGUAAAUGUCACGCUCCGAAUUACACAUUUUUUUAGACAUGCCAACAGACCCACUGUAUAUAUAGAAAUAUUUUCUAUAUACGAAGCGAUAGCUGCACCUGUAAACACAUCGAGCUAGAACCACAAGAUAACGAGCUGCCAAAUUGAAAAACAUAUAUAAAUAAAAAUCUCAAGGGGUUCCAGUAUAUACAAAAUAUCUACUAUACCACUCGCUCCAGCGAGUACUCAGACAACAACCAUAUGUACAUAAAUACCCCAAAACUACCUGUGAGAGGUACUCCCUAACACUGCAACAAGUCUGGAAAGGAUCUAGCUCGCAACUCUCUUUCCACGAUCAGAAUCGGCGACAUUAGCAGUUGUAGAAGAAAGCUAUGCAAAAAGGGGUCAACAACUGGGUGUGAGAACUACUGUAAAACGAAAUAGUCCUCAGUGGGUACCACUACUGACUUCAACGGCUCACCCACUAAGUCUACAGAAAGUAUGCACAAGAAUAGUAAAGGAUGCCGACAAAACAUUACAGCUACAUGUCACUAUACUAUCGCUAACCACUAUCUGUAGAUAAAAACUGCACUCUCUGACUCAAUCUCACUAGGGACUAUGAACACACCUGUCCCGUCUGUCGAAACUACACCAACCACUACCACACUGGGUUGUUGGUGGAGAGAAAGUCCAACCAGGACACCACGACAUCAACGCAAAAGCACUAAUGGGCGCUACUCAACCGAGUAUACAAGCGUGUCUCUGCCGAGUUCAAUCAGGCUCUUACAGACUAUAAUCAAAGCAAAUGAGUCUAGCUGGUCCUACAACUAAAACGCACGUGCCCUUAGCACAAUCUGAUACAAAAAUAACAAUCUGGGUCCACUGUCAACCGCGACGGCACCCGACAGUCCGAAACAAUCUACACACUACUGUAAAAUAAGCUCGGCACCCCAGUACGAGCGUAAACUCAUCCUGCACCAAUCUGGGUAUCCACCGCAUAUAAAUAGCGGCGAUACAGACGAAUCACAGUUCCUAAAGCUACAUCUGGUAAUUUUCAAAAAAUGACAGUGUAGGGUUUAAUAGUUUUCUCCUAAGUCAAUUCCAACUCCAACAUGUAAAACGAAUCUAGAAUUCAAAGUUCCAACUCAGAUUUCAUUAAAGCAAUGCAAAUCGGUGAAUUGAGCUACUAACAUGGUACUACACAGAAAGUUUACAGGUUGACAAAAAUCUAGGCUUAGGAGAAAAUUCGACGAUUUCGGUAAACUUCAACCCACCUCAAAAAACUCGUCCAACAAUGGCAAGAAGUCGAAAUAAGAGAAAACCACGCGCUCGCCCGGUCUCCAACUACGCAACUGCGACGCAAGUACGCUCGAAUGACCCUCUGGAUCGACGUCGAAAUCUCCCGAGCUCGAGCCACGGCCUCCAUCAAGCACACGAUCAAAAACUAAAGAGAGAGAGGAAAAGGGAGAAGAGUAUCCUCUCUCAGCAACUCAGGUUGAUAUAGAUAAGGGAGGGUAGGUAGCGAUGAUAACCAUCAACAAAAAGACCACAAUACCCCUCACCAACUUAAAAUUUCAGCUGGAGUACCGGUACCCGAUUUGGUUACCGGUACUCGGCCUCUCAGUCCACAAGCUCGUACACCGGAUAACGGUACCAGCCUGAUGCUGUACCGGUACCCAGCAUCAAUUGGCGCAACCCGAGAGCAUGCUGUCCAGGAUUUAUACUGCGGUACCGGUACUCCCCUGCGUGGUACCGGUAAUCAAUAUUGAAAACCUACACUUUGCAGAUUCCAAUAUCAAUACACCACUCUUGCGUCGUAUUGAGUCCGUUUUGCGUCCAUUUCGCGCCAAAACGACUCCAACUUGUCCCGACACUCUCCAGAUGUGUCGACAAGCCUUAGAUGCUGAAAUCUCACUAGCAAUCAACCACCAGGGAUACUACAGUAAAAUUAUUCUGUAAAGCGUUUGGAAGAAAAAAAUAAUAACAUAAUUUUUAGAGUAUAGUUAAACUAUAUUCCAAAAAAUAGAGUAAAAUUAUAAUUCACUCUAACCAAAGAAAAAUAAUUCUAUUAUUUUUGAGCUCCCUUAGUUCCAAGAUGUAUCAAGUUCUAAUUUAAAUUUUAAAAUAAAAUUUUAAAUUGCAACCUAGAUUUUAGAUUGUAAAUUUUAAAAAUUUAAAAUUUAAUUUUAAUUUUAAUUUUUAACUUUUAAAUUUUAAAUUUUAUAGUUUGAAUUUAUUAUUCAAAUUUUUAAUUUUUAAUUUAAAAUUUUGAAUUCUAAAAUUUACAUAUCAAGAAUUUAAAUUUUAUAAUUUUGAAAUUUAAAUGUCAAAUUUUAAAUUUCAAAUUUUCUAAUUUUAUAAUUUUAAAUUUUAAUUUUUGAAUAUUAAAUUUUAAAUUUUAUCUUUCAAAUAAUAAAUUUUAAAUUUUAAAUCCCAAAAUUUCUAAUUUUUUAAUUUCAAAUUUUAUUUUUUAAAUAUCAAAUAUCAAAUUUUAAUUUUUAAAUAUCGAAUAUCAAAUUUUAAUUUUUAAAUUUCAAAUUUUAAAUUCUAAUUUUUAAUUUUCAAAUUUCAAUUUUCAAUUUUCAAAUUUCAAAUUUCAAAUUUUAAAUUUCAAAUUUCAAAAUUUAUUUUAAAUUUUAAUUUUCAAAAUCUAAAUUUCAAAUUUCAAAAUUUAUUUUAAAUUUUAAUUUUCAAAAUCUAAAUUUCAAAUUUCAAAAUUUAGAUCUCAAAUCUCAAAUUUCAAAUUUCAAAUCUCAAAUCUCAAGUUUCAAAUAUCAAAUCUCAAAUCUCGAGUUUCCAAUUUCAAAUUCUAAAUUUUAAAAGUCAAAUUUAUUUUUUAAAUUUUAAAUUUUAGAUUUUAAAUUCUAAAUUUCAAAUUUAAAAUUAAAAUCUAAAUUUCACAUUUCAAAAUUUAUUUUAAAUUGAAAAUUUCAAAAUUUAAAUUUCAAAUUUCAAAAUUUAAAUCUCAAAUUUUAAAUUUCGAAUUUCAAAUUUCAAAUCUCAAGCUUCCAAUAUCAAAUCUCAAAUCUCAAGUUUCCAAUUUCAAAUUCUAAAUUUUAAAUUUCAAAUUUAUUUUUUAAAAUUUUAAAAUUUAGAUUUUAAAUUCUAAAUUUCAAAAUUUAAAUUUUUUAUUUCAAAUUUUAAAUUUUUAAAUUUUAAUAUUAAAUUUAGAUUUUUCUAUUUCAAAAUUAUAAAUUUCAAAUUUUAAAAUUAAGAAAAAUUUCAUGAUGUUGCACAAUGUGCAUUCAAACAGUUUAAAAAUUUAAUCUGUGAAAUUUUUUAUGGUUAUAGAAUUCUUUAAUUCAUCGAAGCUAAAAGCACAGUAUAUAAAUUCCAUGGAGAUAUUUCAUUAUGCAUCCAAACAGACCCUAUAUACAUUAGAUAGGACCGCUAUUUAGCCUGUUUGCCUUGAGUAGAAUGAAAAACUAUAAGGAGAUAGUGCACAUCAUUUGAUGAUAAUAUUACGAUUUAAACUUAUAAUCGAAUUGCUUUUUCCUUGAUGAGGGCUGCAAAAUAUUUAUGUACAAAUUAAUUUGAAUUAUGUAUAAUUUAAUUAUUUGUCAUGCAUGUUAGGACUAUUUUGAUAUUUACCUCAUUAAAAAGAUAAUUCUAAAUUAUGUAUAAGAAUAUUCUUAAUUAAGUUAUUUUUAAAUUAUGUAUUUUCUACCAUAUACUUAAAGUAUAUUUUAUUAAAAAAUAUUAACAAUAAUAUUUUGGUGGUACUUUAUUAAUGUAUAACAUUGUUUAACAAUUUUCAAACGAAUAUUAGUCAAAUAGAGUUUAAUUACAAACAUCACUAUUUAUUAAAUAGCACAAUAUUGUAACAUAUAACACUUCUAUAAUUGCACCAUUUGCACCGUUUCAAUUGCACACAAUGCUUAUAUGAUGAGAUUACGGAACAUUCUACCAUUUUUUUCAAUAUGACAGUUGUAGUAUUUCUGGUGUCCAGCAGCUGUGAAAUUACAGCAGCUGUGAAAUUACAGCAUCUGAGGCUUGUCGACACAUCUGGAAGUGUCGGGAUAAGUCCGAGUCGCGUUGGCGCGAAAUAGACGCAAAACGGACUCGUUGCGACGCGAGAGCAGAUUUCUAGCAUUGAAAUCUGCCAAUUGCAGAUUUUCAGCAAUGCGUACCGUUAAUUACCACACAGCGGCAUACCGGAAUUCCAGUGUAAUCUGCGAACAGCCACUCUCGGGUUGCUAUUUCUGCUGCGGGGUACCGGUACGGCAUCGGCCUGGUACCGGUACUCCAGGAUAGGUGAGGGGCUGUUUGGUCUUUUGAUGCCUCGUUCACUUUACCCUUAUUGUCACGCCCCGGAUGUCUAGUUCCCCGGACACGCCGACAAAUCCGCCGUAUACAAAGAAAUUUUCUCUGUAUACGAAGCGACAGCUGUACCUGUAAAUCAAACGCUACUACGAACAGUAGUAGAGAGCUGCUAAAAAAAACAGAAGAUAAACAAACUGAGUUUCAUAUACAUAGUCCAAAUCCAAAAUACAGAGCUACUCGCACUGGCGAGUUAAGUCUACUAUGUACAGAAACUCGAAACAAAACAUCUACCUGCAGUAGGGGCACCUCUCGCUCAGCACGACGGGUAGGGCUCUGACUCGUGACGCCCUUGCCUCGAUCCUGAUCCGCGGAAGGCGCAGCAGCCGGAACCUGUGGCUCUGCAAAAUAGAGGUAACAACUGGGCGUGAGAACUACUGUAAAAACAAGUAGUCCUCAGUGGGUACCGCCCAAAACCACAUCGGUCCACCCACUAAGUCUACAGAAGGGAGCAAGAGUAGUCAGAAAAGCAGGAAGUAAACUCUACCGCUAUCGAUCACUACACUAUCAUGCUCUACACUAACCAACUGUAGUAAAUGUCAAAUCUGACCCAAUCCAAUCGGGACUGUAAGCAUACCCGUCCCCGGGACUGUGAAUACACCCGUCCCUGCCCCGUUGCGACUACUAGGCUCUAUCCACACUAACUGGUCCGUGGAGAGCAAGUCCAACUGGCAUGAGCAACACCAACGCGAAAGCAUAAAGCCUGACUCCGGAGUGGCACUCGUGGCGCCUACCAACCGAGUAUGCAGCGUAUCUCUGUCGAGUUCAAACAGGCUCUGAAAAGCCAAAGUCAAGAAAUCGAUUCUAACUGGUCUAACAACCAACAAGUAACGUGCCCUCAGCACAAUCUGACGCCAAAAAGGCGAUACGGGUCCACCGUCAUCUAACGGCACCCCAAGUCCGGAACAACCUGAACAAUACUGUAAAAAUCCACUCGGCAUACCAGCACGAGCGUAAAUGUAUACUAAACCACCUGGAUACUCGUCUCGAGGAUACUGCGACAGUACAAUUUAAUAACGGCUCCUAGAGUUAAAUCAGGCAGUUUAAUCAAGUGACAGUCCAAAUCGCAGGUUUUCUCUAAUUCAAUUUCCAAGUCCAACAUGUAUAACCUAUUCAAUUUAUUACCACAUGCUCCAAAUUCAGAUAUGCAAUCUUACCUUAAUCCAUAAAUUCGAUCGCAGUAGAAUAGAUUAUCCAGAAAUUGAAAACUAAUGUCUCGACGAUUAGAACUUAGGAUCAAACCGAUGUAACCCACCUCGACAGCGACCCAAGCACCGUGGUAAGUUAGGUCUGUGCGCGCGCAAUUAUUGAGAGACGUUCUGGUAACGGGAGAAGACGAAAUUGCACCCCUCGCCCUGGGUCCUGAGCAACAUUUAGGGACGGUACCUCGUACAGUGGCUUGGGUGGGUUGUUUGUUUAAGUGAUUUUGGUAGAAGUAAUUUUUUGAGUCUAAAGUGAACGCGUUCGAUUCACAAACGAUAUCUGCGUAGAUGCUCGCUGCUGGUGUAAGUUUUAUAUGUCGUGGCUACAUGAUCUGACGCUUAACCUAUGUCUGCCUCACGUAGCUCUCUUCGCACUUUGCCUUGAUAGAUAGAGGAGGGAGAAUGUGAAAUCACCACUAUCCCUUUGGUGUAAAUUAGAGUUACCACAAUAAGAUUAAGGAUGAUGGUUGGUGUAUGCUUAUAAUCGUUACGGAAUUACAAAAGUCCACCCCCUAUGCUUUUACUAACUUAACCGACAUAAAAAUAUUAUAUAAAAUAAAUAAAUAAAUGUUAAUGUAAGGAUAUUUAUCAACCUCUCACUACACCUUACUCAUAAAAUAAAAGUUCCUCGCCUUAAUUAUUCCUUCUUCUCAAAUUCUAAUACAUACAAUACCUUCAAGAACGAUGAUGAAAGCGUAACACAGUCGAGGUGUGGUGUGGUGGGUUAAAAUAUUAUUUAAAUACUCUAUAUUCCAUUUUCUCAUAUUUAAGAUGUCAAAAUCUUAUGAGGAUUAUAAUUAUAAUAAAUUUAAGUGGAAAUGACCAAUAAAUAUAUAGUUAGGACAUUAUUUAAAUUACAUGUCACGCAUAUCUUAGGCUGUUCUGAUUAAUUUUUUGUAUUCCUUCAUUGUCGACCUCCCGUUCUCGUUGAAUGGCUCCAAUCUGUUGAUGCGGUAGUGGUGAAGAUGAUUGCCCGGCUGCGCAAUUCUUUGGUGCUCAUGCACAGAUGAUAUUCGCGCCUGUUCGGUCGUCUCCUCGUUAACCUCAGGUCCUCACCUAUCUCGAGUGGCGAGUGGAGAAUCAAUCACUGUUUGAGAAUGAUCUCGAUCAGAUGAUAUCUCCUUCAACGCGAGACGUGAAACACGGUGGGGAUCGCCAGCAAGUCGAGGGUAAAUAAGAAAAAAAGUGGGCAUAGAGCUAUUUCCUGUAGCCAUAUGGUCGGGAGAUCCUGGAAUCUCUCUCUAUACCUCGAAAGGGCCAGCACAAACGUGGACUAAGCUUGUUUCCACUUACUACCAAAAUUGGUAUUAUUCGUUAAACCUCAAAAAGUGGCGACAGGGCGUGGCGUGUGACUCUUUUAGUGUGAUAGAUUGGAAACAUGAUCUCUAACCUUUAAAUCUAAGUUCGUCUCCUAGAGGGUUUUGUGAUUUUUGUUGUUGUUUAGGUAUGAAUUGAUUCGUGUUUUAGGAUCUCUUAGGCAGUUUGAUUGUAUCGGCGUAGCUUCUCUGUCGGCUCUGUGCUGUCAUGAAGUGGGAAGCAUACGGGCUGGAUCAGAGGUGUGUAUUUCCGUUUUUAUUUUCAACAUGUACUGUUUCUGUUGUCCUUUUGCAGUAUUAGUGUAUUGCCUCUACGAGAAUCGUAAAUAUUCUAUAUGAAUAAGAUGGUAUAGUAGUAAAGUUCGCGCUCUCGAGUUUUUCCAGCGAUUUUUCUCUUGCGAUGUUAGCUUUCUUCUCAGAACAAAAUUCCGACUUAUCCCACCAAUUUCCAUCUCUAUUAUCUUAAGGGUGAGUCUUAGAUAUUAAUUAAUUCUUAAUAGUAUUUACUUAUUAUCAUUGCUUCUAUACUAAGUAAUUUAUUUGUUGUAUAUACAUUCUGACCUCUAAUGGAGGUGUUACACUUAUUAUUCAUUAAGCUCUUUCUAAUACGUUGUAUUAUAAGCCAAUACUUGUUUAUAUUGUAAUUUUUUUUAAUAUACUUGUUUGAUAUUGUUGAUUUUGUAUAUGUAUAUCUUUUCUCUUGUUAUUAAUAUAAUAAACUUUAACAUAGUCUCACUAAAUUUGAUCAGGCUUAUCCACACUCUUUUACUCAACUAAUACAAUUCUCAGGACUGCAAUUAGUAUCCUUCAUUCUAUCAUUGUUCUUCUUUUUAGUGUAAGUAAAAGUUUUAUUUAGUUUUAAUUAAUAUUUUAUUUUAAUUGUUAUUGUGACUCUACUAACUUUGUAUUUUCAAUCUGUCAUAUUCUUUGUCUUGUCCUGAUAUUGGGAAUGGAACGCGUCGUUGUAUUAACUUUUGACUCAAUUGCAUUAAAUAUUUUUCUCCUUAUAAAAUAGAUUGUUCUUAGGUAUAGAUCUUCUAUAUUGUUGGUUAUAUUUAUUUUGAAUANNNNNNNNNNNNNNNNNNNNNNNNNNNNNNNNNNNNNNNNNNNNNNNNNNNNNNNNNNNNNNNNNNNNNNNNNNNNNNNNNNNNNNNNNNNNNNNNNNNNNNNNNNNNNNNNNNNNNNNNNNNNNNNNNNNNNNNNNNNNNNNNNNNNNNNNNNNNNNNNNNNNNNNNNNNNNNNNNNNNNNNNNNNNNNNNNNNNNNNNNNNNNNNNNNNNNNNNNNNNNNNNNNNNNNNNNNNNNNNNNNNNNNNNNNNNNNNNNNNNNNNNNNNNNNNNNNNNNNNNNNNNNNNNNNNNNNNNNNNNNNNNNNNNNNNNNNNNNNNNNNNNNNNNNNNNNNNNNNNNNNNNNNNNNNNNNNNNNNNNNNNNNNNNNNNNNAAGGGAGCAAGAGUAGUCAGAAAAGCAGAAGUAAACUCUACCGCUAUCGAUCACUACACUAUCAUGCUCUACACUAACCAACUGUAGUAAAUGUCAAAUCUGACCCAAUCCAAUCGGGACUGUAAAUACCCGUCCCCGGACUGUGAAUCACACCGUCCCUGUCCCGUUGCGUACUAUCAGGCUCUAUCCACACUAACUGGUCCGUGGAGAGCAAGUCCAACUGGCAUGAGCAACACCAACGCGAAAGCAUAAAGCCUGACUCCGGAGUGGCACUCGUGGCGCUACCAACCGAGUAUGCAGCGUAUCUCUGUCGAGUUCAAACAGGCUCUGAAAAGCCAAAGUCAAGAAAUCGAUUCUAACUGGUCUAACAACCAACAAGUAACGUGCCCUCAGCACAAUCUGACGCCAAAAAGGCGAUACGGUCCACCGUCACUCUAACGCACCCAUAGUCCGAACAACCUGAACAAUACUGUAAAAUCCACUCGGCAUACCAGCACGAGCGUAAAUGUAUACUAAACCACCUGAGUACUCGUCUCGAGGAUACUGCGACAGUACAAUUUAAUAAGCUCCUAGAGUUAAAUCAGGCAGUUUAAUCAAGUGACAGUCCAAAUCGCAGGUUUUCUCCUAAUUCAAUUUCCAAGUCCAACAUGUAUAACCUAUUCAAUUUAUUACCACAUGCUCCAAAUUCAGAUAGGCAAUCUACCAUUUAAUCCAUGAAUUCGAGCUAGAAUAGAUUAUCCAGAAAUUGAAAACUAUACAUGUCGACGAUUAGACUUAGGAUCAAAACCGAUGUAACCCACCUCGACAGCGACCCAAGCACCGGCGCGACGUCGAGAACGACGAAAAUGCACCCUCGCCGGCCUCAACGCACUACCACGACGCACGCACGCUCCAACGGCUCGCAGGCGCGAAGUUGACGUCGCUCCAAUCUCCAACUAUAGCCUCCACGAGCUCUCCACUUCCAACUAGAGAGAGAGGGAAAUUACAAAUCACCACUAUCCUCUGUAGGCCACAAGAUAAGGAUGCAUGGGGGUGCACGUGCAUCCAAAGCCACCCCAUGCAUCACCAACCGACUAAAAAAUUUAAAAAAUAAAUAAAUAAACAAGGUACUACAUCCUCCCUCACUACAAAAGUUUCGUCCUCGAAACUUAAAACAUACCUCAAGACGAGGAAGCGAACAAGUCGGGGUAGGACUCUCUCAUCACCAUCUCGGGCUCCCAGGUCGCCUCCGUCCUCGUGAUGACUCCACUGCACUUUCAUGUACGGAAUGACCCGGCUGCGCGAAUUCUUUCGUCUCACGCACAAGAAUCCGCACCGGUCGCUCCUCGUACCUCAGGUCCUCACCAAUCUCGAGUGGAGUGAAGUCAAUCACGUGAGAAUGAUCGAAAACAUAUCUCCUCAACGCCGAGACGUGGAACACAUCGUGAUGCCAGCAAGUCGCGGGGGUAGAGCUAUCCUGUAAGCCACCGCGUCCGAUACCGUCUAAUACCUCGAAAGGGCCAACAAACGUGGACUAAGCUUUCCACGUACUCCAAAACGGCGUAUCCCUCUGGACGGCGAGACUUUGAGAAAAUGAUCUCUAACCUGAAACUCUAAGUCUCGUCUCCUGGUAUCGGCGUAGCUUCUCUGUCGGCUCGUGCUGUCAGAGGUGCCGUGACGACUCUCACCUUUUCCUCAGCCUCAAGUAAAAUCUCCGGUCCAAGUGUCAUCCGCUCACCCACAUCACUCCAAAACAGGGGAUCGACAUCUGCGUCCAUACAACGCCUCAAACGAGCCAUCUGAAUACUUGUUUGAUAGCUGUUGUGUACGCAAACUCAAUCAGUCCACAUGUCGAUACCACCCUCCUCCAAAAUCCAGGACGCAUGCCCUCAGCAUGUCCUCAGAGUCUGUAUGGUCCGCUCUGACUGACCAUCUGUCUGGGGUGGAACGCCGUGCUAAAAUGCAAUUGAGUGCCAAAGCUGUCUGAAGACUCCUCCAAAACUGAGAUACAAAUCUCGGGUCUCUGUCUGACACAAUCGACACUGGCACGCCGUGCAGCGCUGACGAUCUCAUCCAAGGAUAGCUGCGCAGUCUCUCUCUCGACCAGGUAGUCUGAACCGUAGGAAGUGAGCAGACUUGGUCAGUCUGUCCACUAUCACCCAAAUAGCAUCGUAACUACCUCGCCUCUAGGCAAUCCAACAACGAAAUCCAUAGUGAUGUACUCCACUUCCACUCUGGCACUGGCAGACUCUGAAGUUGCCAGCAGGUAUCUGGGUGCUCGGCUUUCACCUGUUGGAAGUCAAACACUGAGCCACAUAUCUGCCAAUGUCCCUCUUCAUUCCAUUCCACCAAAACCGUGCUCUUAAGUUCCUUAUACAUCUUGGUCCCACCUGGGUGGACCGUAUAAGGGGAACAAUGAGCCUUCUCAGAAUGUCUGCGGAUCUCAGAACCACAGGCACACAGUCGGUCCCUGUACCGUAGUACUUCCGAACUGUCCAAAGCAAAACCUCAGCCUGCCCCUGUCUGCUGCUCUCUAAUCCUCAACAAGUACGGAUCUCCACUCUGUUUUUCUCAGAUCCUAUCCAACAGAGUGGGCUGCAAAACUAGAGAUGUCAGCCUCGCGCUAGACCCAGGGGUACUAUCUCGAGUCCCAGCGCUGUAGCUCCUCGAGUAGGGUUUCUGCUCAGUAAUCCUCAAACUCAGGCUCUGCACUGACUUCCUGCUCAACGCAUCUGCCACCACAUUCGCCCGCCGGGAUGAUACUAUACUAAUGUCAUAUGCCUUCAGUAACUCCAACCACCGGCGCUGCCUCAGGUUUAGCUCCCUCUGUGUGACAGAUACUUGAGACUUUUAUGAUCGUGAAGACCUCGAGUACUCGCCAUACAAAUAAUGCCGCCAGAGCUUCAAAGCCAAAAACCACCGCGGCAAGCUCCAAGUCAUGCGUUAGGUAUUCUUCUCAAAAUCCUUUAAUUGCCGUGAAGCAUAAGCAAUCACCCUACCAUGCUGCAUCAGCACGCAACCAAGUCCACUGUGCGAUGCACACUGUAUGAUCACAAAUCCUUCGCCCAUAACAGGAAGGGCAAGGAUAGGAGCGGACGUCAACCUCAGUCUCAAUCGUCAAGCUCCUUUGACAGUCGGUCGCUCCAGACAAAAAGAAUCCCCUUCCGCGUCAAGCGUGUGAGGGUGUGAAAGCUUCGCAAAGCCUUCCACAAACCGACGCGUAAUAUCCUGCAGUCCCAGGAAGCUCGUACCUCAGUCCCGUCGUCGGUCUAGGCCAAUCUCGAAUGCGCCUCAAUCUUCUUCCGGUCCACUGCUCCCCUCGGCUGAAAUCACGUGGCCAAGAAAGCAACCUCCCGUAGCCAGACUCGCACUUCUCAACUUGGCAAACGCUUCUUCUUUCGCAGAAGCUCUGUAGCACAAUCCUCAAGUGCUCCUAUGUCAGCAUCACUCCGGGAGUAUAUCAGAUAUCAUCGAUGAAAACUACCACAAAUCUAUCCAAACGGCUUGAACACUCUGUUCAUCAAAUCCAUGAAUGCGCAGGGGCAUUCGUCAAUCCAAAAGGAUCACCCGUGAACUCAUAAUGCCCGUACCGAGUCCGAAAAGCCGUCUUGGAACAUCCUCGGCCCUCACCCUCAACUGGUGUAACCUGACGGAGAUCAAUCUUUGAGAGACAUAAGAUCCCUGCAGCUGAUCAAAAAAUCAUCAAUGCGCCGGUAAGGAUACUUAUUCUUGAUGUCACUUUAUUCAGCUCCGUAAUCUACACAUAACCUGAGCGAACCAUCCUUCUUCUUAACAAAUACAACUGGCGCUCCCAAGGACACACUGGGUCUCACAUAUCCCUUGUCCAUCAAAUCCUAGCUGGCCUUUAGCUCUCUCAGCUCAGCGCGCGCCAUCCGAUAAGGUACCUUGAGAUUGGUGUAGUUCCAGGAACUACAUCAACACAACUCAAUCUCCCCUCCGGCGGCAAGUCUGUCAACUCAGGGGAAACACAUCCGGAAACUCCGCGACUACUGAAUAUCCUCGAGUCCCGGUCGCCGGUAGGUACCUUCACAACUGUCGCUAAGAAAGCAAUACACCCUAUCAGCAUCUGUCGAGCCUCGCCGAAGAUAUCCAAGUGGCAAACAGCGUGCUCUGCAGCCUCUAAAAGUAAACUCCUCCUGGCCUAACUCGCGGAAACGUCACAGUCCUCGCUCCACAAUUAAUAUAGUAUAGUACCGCCGCAGCAAUCCAUACCGAGCACAACGUCGAAGUCCUGCAGCUGCUCUAGCACCAACAGGUCUGCGGGCAUGACCCACGAAUCCAACUGCACCGGACACACAACAAACAUCUGCAACCUGUAAAACAUGGUCCGGAAUCUGCACCUCUCGUGCUCUGACAAUGCUCCUAACUCUAGACAUGCAAUAUGCAAAGCUCCGCUAACAAAGGAAUGCGAUGCACCAGUAUCAAAAAGAGUGCGAACUCUAAUGCCCAGAAAUCAAGUGAUACCUGCCACUACUCGGUCGCUGCUGUAGAAUCCUCCACCUGAGCUGCAUAGACUCGCCAUCGGAGCCUUGCUGUCGCUGCUCACCCUGUCGCGGCAUGGACGACCUAUCCUCCUGGCGGUAACUCGGUGCUGUCUGUAAGUCUGGCUGAGGUGCUGGUGGAGCUGAAGCUGAUGAUGGUGCUGGCGAUGCUGCUCGGGGACAAGCAGCCCUCAUGUGUCCCGGCUGCCACACCCGUAGCACGGCCCUCCUCUGCUCACACUGUCUGGCCAGUGUGGUCCUCCGCAGAUCACACACUGCGGCGUCCUCUCAGGCUGUCCCUCUGACGAGAGUCCCUGGAUCGCUGACGCCCGAGAACCCACGACCUGUGAACGCGAUCGUGGAGGCCUCGGCGGACGCUUGCUACUCGACUGACCUCCGUCGUCUGGGCUGGGGCGCUUCCUGUCCUGACUCUGUCCCGGCCCCUGAGCCCUCUCCGCAGCGCACCUCUCAUCUCUCCUCCCAUAAUGCCUGCUCAAUGGACGCAUCCAAAGUCCUCGACCUCUGCGCCCUGACGAACCGUAAUAGAUCGGGUCUCAAACCUGCUCGAACAAAUAGACCCUAUUGCCUCAUCUCUGGCUACAAACGGAACACAGUUCAGGAGUCUAGUAAACUCCCGAACAUACUCCUGAACUGUCCGCUCGCCCUGCUGGAUUCCUUUCAAGUCCUCCUCAAUUUUCUGUUUCAUGCUGUUGGGAAAAUACAUCCAUACAGCAUUCCACAGAACUCAUCCACCUCAGCUGCGCGCAACCAGUCCCUGGUCUCGCCUCGCUCUCCGCACCAAUCGUGCAUCACCUGACAAACAGUGUACUCCCAGUGGUACCUCCCCCUCUGGAACGAACAGAUCCUCAAUAACCUCUCCAUCGCACUGACCCAUCCCUCAACAACCAGGCCUCAGUGGCGCUGCCAUCGAAGAUGGUUUAGGUCAAAUCGCCGAAAACGAGCUAACCUCUCCGUCCACCGGCCUGUCCUGUUCAUUAGUUUGAUUGGACACUUUUGUUUAUUUAUGUGUAUCAGAGGUCAGUCUGACUUUCUCAUGUAGAACGUUCUGUGUUUUUUUUGUCCAUUUUCAUUAUUAUUGUGUUCUUGGUUUAGAACAACCCUUUUAUGUCUUCAAGGAAAUGCAGAUGAGUUCUUACUGUGAUGCAUUAUAUGAAGUAUAUAGUGUAACUUUGGUCCACGCAUGUUCAUCUGUCUUAUUGAACUGACAUUUUUUGGGCUUAUACACUCACUGUUUUGAUUGAGUAGCUCAUUGGCUAGUCUCAUGUUUUGUGAGGUAGCUUGCCGUUCGGACGUCUGCUUGUUAGCUGGUUCUGGUAUGUAGGUUAGGAUUCUGCGUGUGGUGGCCUUCUUAUCAUCCGUCAACAUCGCAUAUUCUUAACAGGAUUUUGUUGGGCAUUCUGUGUUUAUCUAGAAGCGGGUUCGUUUACCAAUUAGGUUUGAUGAAUCAAGGGUAAAUCUUGCGAUGCAUUCCUUGUUACCGCAAUGUGUUUUAGUUAAUUAUAUAUAUUAUUAGGGCUUUUUAUUAUUCACAACUGAUUUUGUCGCUGUGUAUUCGGUCAGAGUUGUCUUUCUUCGAACAUUCAAUCUCACUAUGUUUCGACUUCCCCCCUCUGGCCCUGGCGCGCUUUGACACACCUCGGGCUCUGCCUAUCUCUCAGCACAAUCGUGUUGCUAGUAUAGACGUUUUCGCAUUUAUACAGUGUUGCAUCAGCUGGCUGUCGUUUCAUCACUCGAGUUCAGUCUCGCUGCUCUACACUUCUCUGUCUCUCCAUCUCGUGCAUGGCAUCGCGGUCUGCCUCGUCGCUGCCUGACGUUCCAUUUAUCUUGGGGUGUUCGCAAGUUUUAACUGGCCCCACUUCGUCCCAUCAGACUUGCUUAUCACAUAUCAUGUGGAUGCGUUGCAUACUCAGUCCAUUUAGCAAGACUAAUUUCCGUGAUUCUUUUUCUAUUGCUGACUAUUUUGAAAUUUAUCUGAUAGUGAAAUUCCUUCAAGUUAUGUCUUCGUAUGGCGAUAUCCGUGGUGGCGUCAUUGUCUUUUGCUAGAAAUAAGAUUGUAAUUUCUCAUUGCGGUCUAAUGUAGUUCUCUCUGUCCGUAUAGCUUUUUUAUUGGUCGUCUUGAAGUGAUUCUUUCUCGACAUGUAACUCGUUAUGCUAUUGAUUCGCUUCUCAAGGGCGACGAUACUUUAGUAUUGUUUAAGUGAAGCAUAACUUCCCGUCUGCAGUUUUAUGGUUAUUGUACAAUCGCACGUUGCCUUCGCAAACGCUCCAAUUACUAAGAAUAUUUCUGUGUAGACGGCUUAGUCUCUUUAAGGUUUUCUCCUGCUUCUUCCCAUAGAAUAUAUUGGGUUCGUCCUGGCACCAGCCUUCAUCAGAUUAAAUUUCCCCUGAGGCGCCACAAACAAGGAACUUUUUCUUCAUCGAUUUACUUUCUCUUCCUAUCACAUACGGGAGGGGAGUUUAUAAUUUAUAAUAAUAAGUCAUUUGUGACUUUUUUUGACGGAAUUUAUUAAAACUAUAUGACGGGCGUCAGAUUAUUAUUUGCGUGUAAUUUUCUCGAUGAGCUAUUUUGCUUGAUGAUAGUGUUUUGAUAUAUGUUUCCACUACAAACACUUUUAUUUGUAAGUUUGUCCCUUUUAUCGUCCCGGUACCUUGCAUAAUAUUAGAUCACGAACUUUUCACUAGUUUGUUUCCGUUAAGCUCUCUCUUAUAGCUUCUUUUUACAUUCAUACCUCAUAAAUCGCUCUUUUAUUUUGAUCAACGGUACGCCCCGUAAUGUCUAUGUAGUCCACAUGCACGUCCGACGCAGCAACUAUGGUUUUGAGCUCGUGGGACAAUCAUCCAGCUCUGGUUCUAUUGGCAAAAUGGCUCUUGUUCAUUUCAGGUAUAGCUAGAAAUUAUCGUUGACGAUGUAUAGUUAUCUGUGCAUGAAUUUGAAUCAAUGACUCACUAUAAGAAUCCGUAUCAAAGCUGCCUAAAUUUGGGUUCGAGCAAACACAAUUUACUUAUGGAAAACGGUAACAUGUUUCCAUGUAGAUUAUAAUCUGGUCUAAUAGAAGAACCUACGACGAGAGGUAUCUAGACUAGAAUUGCGCAAGUGGUGUGUAGAUUGUUUGGUACCAGAUCUAAGUGGGCUUACUCCAAACUACCAGACGAAAUAAUCGUGCGUCCAAACUUCAUCCUCCCAGCGAUUUUGGGUGUAUUAUUCAAGUUUAAAAGGUUUUACAGCCUUAACGUACUAUACGCGUGACUCUGGCAAGUUACCAAUAUACGUGAUGUUGCUGACCUGCGAACUUAAAUUAGUGGCACUCUAGCUCAGGCACGAACGGGUAGGCUCGUGACUCGUGACGCCUUGCCUUCGAUCUCUGCUAUCCGCGGAGGGCAGCAGCCGGAACCUGUCGUCUCGUAAUUAGACGCGGUAACAACUUGACUGUGUUGAGAAUACUGAUAAAAACAAGUGCUCAGGGGUAACGCCAAAACCACAUCGGUGCCACCCACUAAGUCUACAGAAGGCGAGCAAAAGAAUAGUCAGAAAAGCAGGAAGUAAACUCUACCGCUCAUCGAUCACUACACAUCAUGCUCGUACUACUGAUCCAACUGUAGUAAAUGUCAAAUCUGACACCAAUCCAAUCGGGGACUUGGGUAAGCAUACCCGUCCCCGGACUGUGAAUACACCAGUCCCAUCGCGGUUCCGUUGCGAACUAUCAGGCUCUAUCCACAUAACUUGGUCCGUGGAGAGCAAGUCCAACUGGCUAUGGGAACACAACGCGAAAGCAAAGCUGAUCUCGGAUGGCACUCGUGGGCGUACACCACGAGCUAUGCAGCGUUAUCUCUGGUCGAGUUUACAACAGGCUCUGAAAAGCCAAUAGUCAAGAAAAUCAGAUUCGUAACUGAGUCUAACAACCAACAAGUAAAGAUGCCCUCAGACAAUCUGACGCAAAAAGAAAAAACAUAAAGGCGAUACGGGUCCACGUCACGUCUAACCGCACCCAUUAGUCCGGAACAACCUGAACAAUACUGUUUAAAAAUCCACUCGGUACCAGCCACCGAGGCGUAUAAUGUAUACUUAAACCACCUGGAGUAUCGUCCUCGGGGUGUAUACGUGACUAGAUACAACGUUAAUUAAUCGGCUCUAGAGUUUAAUACAGGCAGCUUAAUCAAGUGACAUGUCAAAUCGCAGGGUUUUCUCUCCUAAUUCAAUUUCCAAGUCCAACAUGUAUAACCUAUUCAAUUUAUUACCACAUGCUCCAAAUUCAGAUAUGCAAUCUACCAUUUAAUCCAUAAAUUCGAGCUAGAAUAGAUUAUCCAGAAAUUGAAAACUAUACAUGUCGACGAUUAGAACUUAGGAAUCAAAACCGAUGUAACCCACCUCGACAGCGACCCAAGCACCGGCGCGACGUCGAGAACGACGAAAAUGCACCCUCGCCCGGCCUCCAACGGCACUACCACGACGCACGCACGCUCCAACGGCUCGCAGGCGCGAAGUUGACGUCGCUCCAAUCUCCAACUAUAGCCUCCACGAGCUCUCCACUUCCAACUAGAGAGAGAGGGAAAUUACAAAUCACCACUAUCCCUCUGUAGGCCACAAGAUAAGGAUGCAUGGGGGGUGCACGUGGCAUCCAAAGCCACCCCCAUGCAUCACCAACCGACUAAAAAAAUUUUAAAAAAUAAAUAAAUAAACAAGGGUACUACACUUAUCCCCACUACUAUAUAUAGGAUAGAGAGAGGCUGAGGAGUUUAUUUUUGCUGUGCUUUCUCUCUCUAGUUCUUGACCAUGAGCAAGGUAGAGGCCUCGGGUGGAAUUCGGAUUGUCGCCGACGUUGCGCCGGGGAGCCGUUCAAGCGCGUGGACGUCGUUGUCGCAUCAUUGGGAGGCGGGGCAAGCGCGUAGUUCCGCUUCUUUUGACUUCUCGCCGGAGUUAGAUUAGCUUUUGAGGUGGGUUAAUGAUAUACUUACCAGAAUUCUCAGAAUUACCUCCUAAGCCUUUAUGUAGACAGCAUGUAUUUUUGGUGUCGUUUAGCAUGUUUAGUAGCUCGGUUCUUUGAUUUGCAUGGUUUUAAAUCUGAAUUGGAGCUUAAAAUAUUAGCUAAAUUAUACAUGUCGGAUUUGGACUUGACUUAGUAGAAAACUAUCGAUUCUACACCGUCAUUUCCUGAAACUACUAGAUUUAGUUUUAUGAGCUGUAGUUUGUUUGUAUCGCCGCAGUUUGUGGGCGGUGGAUACCCAGAAUAGUGUAGAAUGCAUUUACGCUCGUGCUGGGAUGCCGAGCUUAUUUUUACAGUAGUGUUUAGGCUGUUCCGGACUGUCGGGUACCGUCGUGGUUGAUGGUGGACCCCGUUGGCUGUUUUUGCAUCAGAUUGUGUCGAUGGCACGUAGAUUAUGGUUGUUAGACUAGUUAGACCCUUUCUGUAUUGAUUAUAGCCUGUGAGAGCCUGAUUAGCUCGGUAGAGACACGUUUGCAUACUUGAUUGGGUAGCGCCCACGAGUGCCACUCCGGAGUCGGGCUUAAUGCUUUUGCGUUGAUGUCGGUUUGUCUUAUUUUGACUUGCUCUCCACUGACGACCUAGCGUGGUGGCGGUUAGUGUAGCUUCGACAGGCGGGACGGGUGUGUUCACAGUCCCUAGUGAGAUUGGGUCAGAGAUUCCAUUUUCUACAGAUAGUUAGUGUUGGAUUGUGAUAGUAUAGUGGCAUAUAGCUGUAGGUUUGUUCCAGCUUCUCUUACUAUUUUUGAGCAUAUAUCUGUAGAUUUAGUAAGUGAACCAUUGAGGUCGGCAGCAGAUCCCACUGAAGACUGAUUCUUUUUACAGUAGUUCUCACGCCCAGUUAUUGGAAACCUUUUGCAGAGCCUGCGUCUUUGGUUGCUGCUGUUGCUGAUUCAGAUCGUGGAAAGGGAGUCGCGAACUAGAUCCCUUCCCAGUUUCUACUAACCUAGAGAUUUACACCAGCUAUAGAUAGUUGUAGUUUUUGGUUCUUAUAUAUACUGAUGUUAGUAUUUCGUCGGAGCGAGUAUUUUUGUAUCAGGAUACUAUGUAUAUAUUUGAACCGAUGUUAUUUAUAUAUGCUUUCUUUUUAGCAGCUCUAUACUACUGGUUGUAGUGUUGUAUGAUUAUAGGUACAGGUAUAGCUAUCGCUUCGUAUACAGAAAAAAUUUCUUUAUAUGCGGCGGAUUUGUCGGCGUGCUCGGAGAAAUGAGUAAUCCGGGGCGUGACAAUAGUAUUAUAUCCUAUAUCAAUUCUAUAACUGUCCUAUUUUCUAUAGCCCAGCCAAACAAGACCAAUAAAAACAAACAACUUUACGAAAAUAGAUUUUAAGACAUUCAAUUCAAAACAAAUAAUACUACUGUAUCGAUUUGAGCUAUCAUACUAUUGGAAACACCAAUUUCUAAUUUUUAUAUUUUUGGAUUGAUACUAUUAUCACCACCAACUAGUAAAUCAUGGAGAUUUAAGAUCUAAAAAUUAGAAAUAUAUACUUUUCAAUGGUGUAGUAGCCUCACACCUAUUGUAUCUAACUGUGGUCGGGCGUAAAUAAUUUCGGAUCUUAAAUAUGGGCCAAGCCCAUUUGCAUUGCGGCACGAGUUGGUUUCCUUUGGUUCGGGCUCGCCCGGUUCAAGUGAACUGAUUCAACCGGUUCGGGAUGGUUUGUUUUUCUUGUGCAAGGCGAUUGCGAAUAGCGAUCGAACUCGAACCGCCCUAUAUAAUCCCACAAGCAGGGGCUCCUUACUUCUCUUUCGCGUGCUCUAUCUAGGGUUUGCGUUAGGGUUAGGGCUUCCUCCCGACCCGUCGUCUCCUUCGCCCUCCGCCACCUCCCCUGUACCCGCUCUUGCACCUAGGGUUUAUCGUUUAUCCUUUCCUUGCUCUCUCCCUAUCCUGUUCUUAGGGUUUUAUUCGCCUUGUAUUCGUUAUUAGGGUUAGGAUUUUUUCUAUCAUUUUACCCUUUUCUCCGCUCCGAAGAUGAUGCAACCGGCGGGAGGUAUGGUUCAGCCCCCAAUGGGGAUGGAUCAACAGCACCAUCAGCAGCAGCCGCAGCAGUGGGCGGCGGUGAUGGCGCCGCCGCCUCCGCCGCCGCAGCAGCAGUACUAUCAGGCGCCGUCGGCGGCGGGGGCGCCGCCGCCGCCGAUGUGGAACCAGCAGCCGUCCAUGGUGCCGCCACCGGUGGUGCCCCAGCAGAUGGGGCCGCCGCCUCCGCAGCAGCAGUACCAGGCGUCCGCCGCCGCAGCUGUUGCGGCGCCGCUGCAGCCCGGUUCGGCAGAUGAGAUCCGAACCCUAUGGAUCGGGGACCUGCAAUAUUGGAUGGAUGAGACCUUUCUCUGGGGGUGCUUUGGCCACAGCGGAGAGGUGACGAUUGUUGCGUUCUUCUUAAUUUCUCUCUAUUCGGAUGUAAAUGUGCCUUUUACUUUACCUUGUUUAGAUCUUUGUCCUGCUUGGUACUGUUCUCUGAUAGAAUAUCGGUCAUUCUUUUAAGGCUUUAUGUUGAGGAUUUGGGACCUAUUUUACUUGGCGUGAGCUUGUCUAGAGUUGUUUGAAGAAGUGGGAAAUGGUAAUGGGUUUUCAGCGAAGUCUCCUCAUCAUAGCUUCCUGCUGUACAGAAACUUCUAGUUGGAGUUUCUGUUUUUGGGCCCAAAAGCUCAUUUCUACUUUUCAAGCCAGUGCUGCAUUCUUUUGUUUGUUGGAAGCAUGCUUUCUCAGAGAUUUGUCACUGUUGUGUAGAACUGUUCCAGAAGCUAGGCUAGACAUGCACUUAUCCUUCUGAGUGGUACUUUGUUUAAAGUAUUGAGUGGAUUUAGAAUGUUGUAGUACAUGAGCUUGGAGGAAGUCGAAGUAAAUUAGUACUUCAGGUUAUUCUUUGAAUCUCAAUCCUGUUGCACUCCCUUUGGAUAGGGAGUAAAGGAGAAAAUAGAAGAUAAAUUUAGGAUAGAAAAUCAUUUUCUUUGGUUUGGAGUGAAAAAUUGAGAAAGGAAGAAAAAUGGAGAGAAACAGAGAGAGUCCAUCUUAUGACAUGUUUAUCUACUUUUAUGUAAACUAGUUACAGUGCACGUGCGAUGCACGUCACAUUUGCAAAUUAAAUUAGAUUUAAAUAUAAAAUUUAAGUUAAAAUAAAUUUUGAAACUGUAUUUUGAAUUUAAAUGGUUAUUGAUGGCAGAGUCUAUUUUUCGAUUGAUUUAUUUCUAAAUUGGAUUUGUUUCUAUGCAUGUUUUCAAUUUAGUUAUACCGUAAAUGCUUUUUAUGUGUUCCAUAACAAACAGAUUGUUUUAGUGUAUACCCAGAAUUUAAAAAUUUAAAUUGAUUCCUAAAUUUCUAAAUUUGAUUUGUCUUUGUGCAUGUUUCCAAUUUAGUUAUACUGCAAAUAUUUUUUAUGUACGAUAACAAACAAAUUUUUUUUGGUUUUUUUGUGCAUUUGGCCCCCUCAAAAAGGUUUUUUUCACAAAAUAGUCCUAUCAAUUUUAUAAUUGCAAUUUUGGUCCUAUCCUUGCCAUGCAGGCACCACAUCAGCGCCACGCAAGCUGGCUUGGGCGGCGUUUAGUUGAACACGGUGUGUUCAAACACGGUGAAUGGUUCAUCGUGUUCUAAAUUUUUUGAGGUGGCCAAAUGCAAAAAAAGCCCCUUUUUUUUAAUGUAUACACAUUUAAAAAUGGGGCAAUUGCUUAUAUACCCCUAAAAAGUUUCAGACUUUCUUAUUUAUCCCGCUUAGAAGACUAAUAUAAAAAAACCCUUUUAACGUCCAAGUUCUUUCAAAUAUACUCCUAGAGUUAGAUUCUGUUAGUGAACUGUUAGGAACAUCCGUUAUCUCUGUAAAAUUAUUAUUUUGCCCUUUCAAAUAUAUCCUUCUACUGUUACCAACUUUUCUUAUUUGCCUUUAAGUUAGGGACAAAAGAGGUAUAUUGACUUCUUUUUAAUUAUGGUAGAAAUUUAACUUGGGUUUAAUUCGAGAUGACUUAAUGGGUACUAAUAGCGGGGUUAUUUCUGAAUAACGGAGAAAUAUAUGAGGGGUAUAUUUGAAACAAAAAAGGAGGGGUAUAUAAGAUAUUUCAGAAGUUUUGAGGAUAUAUAGGUAAUUAUCCCUUUAAAAAUUUAAAUUGAUUUCAAAGUUUAAAUUAAAGUUUGAAUUCAGAUUUAAAUUUAUGAAUCAAACAUAAAAUUUAAAAAAUUGUUGAUUUGAUACAUAUUUUUAAAUUAUUCUAGUUUGCAAAUCUUAUUUGUUUUUAGUUAGUUAAUUUUUUUUUGUAGUAUGCAUGGAAUAUUCCUUUGUUCCAUCUAGGUCUGUUUGUCAACUAAAAAUUUUCCAUCCGCUUUUAUAUAUUACAUAGAUAUAGAUGAAUAUGCAAUGAUGGUUGUAUCUUAAAUUACGGUGUGCUAAUGACAAAUUGUUUGUUGUUGAUGAUCUGAAGCAUGUAACUGGUCUUAGGGGAGGGCGUAUCAAGUGAUAUAUAGUAAUUUAUCCAUGAACGGCUGAAGUAACUCCUUGACAUCUUCUAAAUGUUUCGGUAAAUUAAAGUUGUCCAGCUCCCCUGGCAUUGCUUGAUUAUGUCUUAAUGUUGAUGAUUCAGUGUUAUCGAAUAUUUUGAGAGACAUAUCUACUAGGGAGGAUGUAGGGCAUAGAUUGGGUCUGAUUUAGUGAAGUGGAGGUGCAACAAGAGACCAAUGCAAUGAAAGUGUACUUUAAAAAGUGAACUAUAAAAUACUGUUAUAGUCAAAAUUAUGCUUGAUGGAGUAAAGUUUGGAUCUUAAGAAACAGCAUGUCACAAAAAUGUGUGUAGCAGAGCUGAGAAUGUGUAAACUGAUGUGUCAUUAUAACUACCGUAAGGUAUAAAAGAAUAAAUAUGCGUACUCUACAGUGAGAGUGGCUUCAAUUGCGUGCAGAAUAAUCUAGGUGAAAACAUUGUGGAGAUGCACAUGUUCUUUCUGUAACAGUAAGAUGAUCAAAUUAGGGGUGUGAAGGGGGGAAUUGGCCAACACUGACAUGAUUUAAGGUAAUGCAAGAAGAUUAAGUUGCAAUUUCACUUGGAGAGAAUAUAGCUUGUAAUAACUAAUAACGUUGCACGAUAAAAGAGCAUCUCUUAGGAAUACAAUAUAGUUUAACUUCACAGUUGGUAAAAGUGAUCUGACCUAGCGAUAAAGCUGACUUGUGUUGUGUGUUGCAAUGCAUGAACCAAGUAGUUGUUUUGUCCUCAUUUGAGAGUAUUGAAGAUUAUACUUAAUUUUGUUAUGAGUUACUUCUGUUAAGUCUUCAUGAACUUGCAAUUGUCUAUACUAUUACGCCUGCUUGCAGGUGUUAUUCUACACCACAUUUGUGAUUUAUUAGGGAAGGAAUACUACAAAAUUUGAAAACCGACCACCAUUUUCACAUGUCUUGGCCAUAUCUAUUUUAAGAUCUCUCUUGUAAGAAACAAAUAAUGUUAUCGUUUCAAUUGAGAUAUUGUUGUGCUUUUACAGCUAUCCUAAUUGAACAGGGACACAGAUGAAUAAUAUAUGGCAAUAAUAAUACAUAUACUUGAACAUAAUGGGCAUCACUGUAUGCUUUCAAAAUUUAUGUGAUCCCUCUAAUUAUGGCUUGUCCAACAACGCAGGUUGUCUCAGUGAAAAUCAUUCGAAAUAGGCAGACUGGGCAGUCGGAGGGAUAUGGUUUUAUUGAGUUUGUCAGUCGUGCUACUGCAGAGCGAGUUCUUCAGACAUAUAAUGGGCAGAUGAUGCCAAACAUUGAGCAAGCUUUCAGGCUGAAUUGGGCUUCAUGUGGAGCAGGUGAAAAGCGUGGAGGAGAUGAUGGCGCAGAUCAUACUAUUUUUGUUGGUGACCUGGCAUCAGAUGUUACGGAUUACUUGUUACAAGAGACAUUCAAGGCCCGCUACUCCUCAGUGAAAGGGGCUAAAGUUAUUACAGAUAGGCUUACUGGGAUUUCCAAGGGCUAUGGCUUUGUUAGGUUCGGAGACCUAAAUGAACAAGCACGUGCUAUGACUGAAAUGAAUGGAGUUUACUGUUCUUCAAGGCCAAUGCGGGUUGGUCCAGCUGCAAACAAAAAGAAUUCGGUUUCUCAAACUGGUAUGUAGCUUCAUUAUUAUUCUGGUAUAAUUGAUUACAAUUCAGUUUAUGGUUAUUGAAUAUUUUUGUAGGGGAUAUUAACUAGUGAAUUACCUUUGGAAUUCUUUAUUUUGAUCCCAAUAAUUUGUAAUAUAAGUUGAAUGCUUGGUCUUGUAGUGAUAUUUCAAAAUAUUGUGCUACAUCAUACACUUAAAUAUAAUAGGUAUUGCUCCGUGAUUUACCUGGCCAUCUCCUCUAGUACUUUCCUUUGUGGAAUUAGGAUCAUUUAAAAUAAUAUUCAGUACUGGAGACUUGCAGAAGUUAAUAUCUUUGCAAAGUAGGAUGACAUGCUACCUUCAUUUAGUGACAGAAAGUUUUCAGCUGAGAUGCAUUUUUCUGUUUGGGUGGCCUGUUGUUACUGCAGUUUUUAUUAUCUGAGAAUUUGAUUCCUUGUGUUUCAUGCGGCAUUUUGCUAUGUGUUUAUUCUCAGAUUAAUUUGAUUUAAUUUAGGUGCCUAGAGUCUUAGUUUACUUCAUUCAUCACCCCUAUCUCGGAGAUUUUAUGCAUUAUCCUUACUUUUCCUUUUUUUCUAAGACUUGCUCUAUAAAGAUCAAACUAACUUCGGUCAGCUUGUCAAUAUCUAUAAAAUCUUUUUCUAGGUUGUUCUUUAAUUGUUUUUUUGGACUUCUAAGGAUCGAGUCCCUUGGUCCUAUUUAGCUGCAUAAUUCUGGAAAUCAUGUCUAAUCUUCCAGCUAUCGUAAUGUAGCAAUAUAUAGUUGUUGUUUUGGCCCUGCCUGAUUUUUUCUUAGGCAAUAUUCAUCUUUUACGUUGGACGAUCUCCUCUAAUAUUUGGUUAGAGCUUUAUUGAUAAAUGAUAAGUGCUGAAAAUCCAAUUUAUGAAUAUUCUUCCUCAGCCUUUUCUUUUUAGUAACAGUUCUGUUUGCUAAAGAAUGAAUGCCUACCUUUUGAAUUAGUAUUUUGAAAUCUUUUAGGUCUUGUUUGGUUCACCUAGUUUAGACUCUAGAAUCACAGUGAGAUUCAUUGAUUCCGAUAGUAGUUGUUGCUUCACAGGAAUCGAAUUCUGAUUUGAUUCCACUUUGGAAUGAGAAUGGUCCAAUCCCCGAUCUAGCUUUGAAUUCUAGAUUGGUCCAUUCUAGAGUAAAUUGCUCAAACCCUCUCUAANUCCCUUCAGCACUCUCCUAUCCCUUAAUGAAAACCCUCUCUCAAAAUUCUAGAUAUCCGAAUUGUCCAUUCCGAUUUUCAUUCCAAUAAUGAACCAAACAUUUUUCGAUAAUUUCACCAUUCCAUUCCCCAUUCUGAAGCAAUCCAAUUCCAUUUCCAAUUCUUAUUCCAAUCAUGAAUCAAACAUGCCCUUAAUGUCUAAAGGGAUCAGUUAGAAUCAUAAGAACCCACUGACUUUUUUCCAAUUGCAGUAUCAACCACUAACAUUUGUUCAACAUGAAAUGACAAACUAACUUAUUUCCCUUUGUAUUUUGACCUAUAAAACGUGAUUUGGUGUUUAAAAGAUCAUCAUUAUCUUAUGCUGCACAAAUCAACCGUCCAAAGUAGUUGUUUAUACCAAAUCCAUUUGGUGAGAAUAGACACUUGGUGGUUUUUCUUUUUUUUAAAAAAUUUAUUAUCCAAAUGAAUCUUUCUGGAUCAGAUUGCAACAGAAAAAAUGUUAGUGGUUUUCAUUGUAUCAUUUUGAAGAUGGUCAGCCAAAAUGUUCAAUUUGGUGAAUAAACUUUGCCUUAGUGGUUCAUACUGAAAAUGAAUGAACUGCUAAGUUCUUGACAUGAAGAGUUAUCACCUAAUUACCAGUUGUGAUGGCCGCAAUGCUCCUUGAGUCCUUAUUGAUUAUCUAGUAACACUAAAUUUAAUGCCGCAUCUUGUUGUGUCAUGCUUAGGGCUUAGUGCAUUCACAAUGAGUCAUAAGAUGAAAAGAAGUUACCCUUCUGAAAAUUGUUAUUUGCUGUGAAGUUAGUUCUCUCCUAGAUACGCUACUGUGUGAAUGCUACUGUUAUCUCUCUCAUUGAUAUUAAAAAUAUUAUCUUUUGAAUGAAUGUUACUGAAUGCACAUGUGAAAGGUGAGAAAUUUCUGCACAUUCGAUUUAAUUAGAGAAUAUUCGAUUUAAUUAGAGAAUGUUUUCCUAGCAGGACUUUGAGAUCAAAGUUAUUAAUGGAAUAUCUAUACCAUCAGAUGUAAUCUGUAGGUUAAGAACUUGCAUGCUAAUUUGUAUAUUUGGAUGUUUAAUUGUGUUUGCAUUUGACUGUUCCAAAGUUGAUCCUCUUUAUAGUCAAUAUUUUUUUGUGUUGAUUCCGUAUCCAGCACCUAGAUUUUGGACCGAAUUAUAAUUUUGUCUCCAGAGUUUCAAGAAUAAGGAAAUAUGGUCCCUAAAGCCUGCCUGCAGUUGCAAUUUGGUCUUCGUAAUUUCAAUUGACAAUUUAGUACCUCAUUACUUUGGUUUCAUUUCAAAAUUUUUAAUCUUAAUGAAAUCUACAGAUGGUGCUGGCCUGGUACUUUUCUAGGCAUUUGACUAGGAGGAUGACUUGAUUGUUAUGCAGAUUGAAUUUCACUGUGUAAAUUGUUGCUAUUAAAACUAAGGACAAAAUGGGAAUCGAUGUCUUGUUAUACUUGGGCCUUUUGGUUUAAUAUAGUACUCCCUUUUUGUAGAUUGAAUUUGGGAACUUUAAGUAGCCUUAUAUGCCUACAAUAAAAAAUCAAAAUAUUGUUGAUAGAAAUGGCCAAUUGUACGCCCCAAUAUUUUUGACUCAGCUGUAAAUAAUUUAUAGUAAAAUUCUACAAGCAAUCAAUCCAAGUCAAUAGUCUGUUUCUAUGUAUAUUAUCGAUUGGUAUUCAGUAAAGUUUUCUAUUUACUCAUGUUUCCUGCAAAAAUCUGAAAUUUUGUAUGUACUAUUUAAAAACUUUCUUACAUGUAUACCUUGUACUUAUGAAAACAUUUGCCUUAAAUUUUUUUUUUUUGCAAAGCAAAUCAAUUUUCCUUGUAAAUUUGAUGACUAGCCAACUAUAGUUAAGCGUAUUUUGAAAGAAUUCACCAUAAGGGGUUUCCUUGAAAUUCUAGUUUUACAUGGUAUCUGUGCAAAUAGGUGAAUUUGAUGUGAUAUAUAUGUAGAAGCCGCUAAGUUACUUUCUAGCUCAAAUAGUUUCUUACAUAUCUUGAUAUUGCAGCUUCUUACCAGACUACUCAAGGAACUGAAUCCGAGAAUGAUCCAAAUAAUACAACUGUGGGUACUUUGUUUACUUAAUGCAACAAUUUGUUGAUAGAUGCUCUGUGUUCUUAGAAAAGAGUUUCGUAAUUGCAGAUAUUUGUUGGUGGUCUGGAUUCAAGUGUUACGGACGACCAUCUAAAGCAAGUUUUUAGUUCAUAUGGAGAACUGGUUUAUGUGAAGAUACCUGUAGGCAAGAGAUGUGGGUUUGUGCAAUUUGCCAACAGGUUUGCACUUUUUUACAUUUUCAAACAUAAAAUUUUCCCUUAUUUGGUGAUAAUUUAAUCAUGUUUGUUUGACCAGUUUUUAUUGGAGAUUUUGCAUCUUUUCUUGUGCUAAAAUAUGUUUAUAGUUUCUGACUUUUACAUUGGCCUUUCAAAUGUUUAAGUUCUUCCGUAUAUUUUUGUACUAACCCUCAAAAAUAAAUUCUAACAGAAAUCCAACUUCCUGCAUGAACAUGAUGACUCUUUUGUAUUGUUGAACAUGAUCUAGAUGGUGAAAAAUUCUUUGUCAAAAAAUUCAGUCAAAUCGGUCUGUUCUACACCGUUAUGAGUAAAAAACUCUUAUAGUCUGUCAAAAAUUGUUUGUUUUGAGGCCUUUCAUACACCAAGUAAAUGAUUUUUGAAAAUCUGAAAAUUCAGUUCUUGGUACUUCAAAUACUCAUCAUGUUUAGAUGUGUCUAUCAUUGAUUUGGGUUCUGUGUUGAAAAAUGAAUUGAUAGAUUGAAGUCCUCCGUCCUGCUAAAAGUAUAGUUGCAAGGCUCAUACAUAUAAGAAAGUUUACGGUUAUAUAGGUGAAGAAAAAAAAUUUGCAGAGAUAUAAAUGUGAAAGCUAUGUUAUUUAUGUAUACAUGUUAUACUUGUUUCUUCAGAUCAUGUGCCGAGGAGGCUCUAAAGAUGCUGAAUGGUAGUCAGCUUGGGGGACAAAACAUACGGCUCUCGUGGGGUCGUACACCUGCAAAUAAGCAGGUAGCAUUAUCUAUAACUUUCUUCAAAUUUGGCCUUUUUCCUAUAAUUUUUGAUCUUGAAGGGACACUGAAUUUCUUUAUUGAUUUUCAGCCUCAACAGGAUCCUAACCAGUGGAAUGGCAGCUAUUAUGGGUAUGCUCAAAGUUAUGAUACAUACAGCUAUGCCCCACCUCAAGAUCCUAACAUGUAUGCUUAUGCUACAUAUCCGGGAUACGGAAAUUAUCAGCAGCAGCCGCAGCAGCAACAGUAGGUAAAUAAUUAGUUCUUGUUUGAUUUUUUUUGAGUUUCAGUUGCUUAUGUUUUAGAGAUUGAUCUUUGUGUUGGGGUAGGUUUUUUUUUUUUUUUUUUUUUUUUUUUUGGCUUUUUUUUUUUAACCUUAUAUGAUCUGAGAGAUUGUUUGUUAUAAUUGAGUAAUAACUAUAUAAAUAUAAAUCUUGUCAAAAUACACUGAUUACUUUGCUUGGGGAAGGUUUUUUAAUCUCUUGUUUAUUCUGGUAUCCAAUUCUCAUGUUAGUAAAGAGCCAAGCAUGUUCAUCUUACAUGGGAAGAAAUACUGCGGCUAGAGGGGUGCUUAGAAGUAAAUUGCUUUGGAAAUCCUUACUAUGUUUAUAUGAUUGUUUGUGCUAUGAGAUACGAUUCCUAGACAUAGACAUAAUACCCUAAGGCGAGUCAUAAACUACAAAUAUGGUGGAAGUAUAAUGAGCAUCGAUAGAAUUGAUAUCAAUGUCGAGCUCAAUCAAGAAUCUUUAGUUAACCUCAAUGGCAAAUCCUCAUGAAAUAUGAGCUGUAGGUUAGAUAUUUCUAGUUCAUAGACCUGCAAAAGUACUCUUUAUUGUAUACAAUCAUGUUCCUUUUCCUACAAUAUUUUAGUUCUAUAUUGAGUGACGGUUGGAGAAUUAUUUAGGACACUAUGCUUUUAAAUCUAGCUUUAUUAUAAAUAUAUAAAAUUAUAGUCGAAUUAGAAUGCUUUCAAAGCACCGGCCCUCAGUGCGUCCACAUUUUUAUUCCGUUGGAUGUGCAUUGCUACUUGUUAAUGCUUCCGAUGAGUGGGAAUCUUGAUGCGCAUUCGGUGGCAGAACUGAGUGGUAGUACUAGGUCCCUUGUUGCUUCUAAAUGCAUUCUAGCUCAACUUUGUAAUAUCAUUGAUUUUGUUGUUGCUUUAAUAUAUACAUAUGAGAAGAAAGCGGUAUGAUGUAGAAGUAUAAAAUUAAUUUGUGAAGAGCAAUGCGAUCUGUGCACAACUUAUAGGGUGUGAAUCUUACAUCUCACCCAUCGAAAAGCUACUAAUAUUUUUACUAGUCCUAUCACCCUUUUUGUUUAAUACAAAAAAUCUAAUAGGGGUUUUUGAACCCUUGGAUGGGUUGGUGUAAAAUGUACGCCGUACUUAUAGGGUAUACAAGUAGAGAAUUUUCCGUAUCUAAAUUUGUAAUAGAUCGCAAAAUCUUGAGCAUGAUAUCUUUGCAAAGGCUUAAAGUCUGAAUUGCAUGCAGAGAAUAGGCAUACCUGCAUGGGUGGUAGGCUAUGUAGGCUAGGCGGCAAGAUUAUGCUUAAACGCCUAGGUAGGACCACCUAUGUGCCUAGGCGCAUUGGUGGCUGCUUGUAAAUAUGAAUGAGUCAUCAAUGUCCCAGAAAAGGAAACAGAUUUUCGCAUGUCUCUGUUGUGGCUAAAUGAUAUUCGAAUUGUCAUUAUCACCUGAAAUGGUGUUUUAUUUAAGAAUUUGCAAAUAUUGCUUUUUAUUGCCAACACAGGAGUCUAACUCACAAUUUGUUGUGCAGUGAUGGUUUGCGAGUCAGGAUGUAGCACGAAGUGCAUAUGGCAGUGGAACUUUGCUGCCUACGCCUUGGAGCGUUAUACGAUUCGUUCAUUUCGGCACGGAGGCUUUGUGAUUUCUGUUGAAGUAGUUUGUUUCUUGUUUAAGAUUAUUAUUAUUAUUUUUUCGGUAUGACUCUCAGUUUGGGCGACUUUUUCUUUAUAGUACUUCUGAAUCUCUGAAGUCUUUCUAUUGUGAUGACUAGAAAGCCGUUCUGAAUCUCUGAAGUCUUUCUUAUUGUGAUGACUAGAAAGCCCCUUUUCAGUCACCUUUUAACUAUAUUUAUAGUUUUUAAUUUUCUUCCUGUUUUGUAACCUAUGGAGCUUCGUUCCUUGAUCUUAAUCUGGUAGUGGUUUUGUGGUGGUUAUAAUGGGGCAGUUCCUUUUUUGGUUUCAAUUUGAGCUGUUUAAGUCAAUCAUAGUGUUUGCCAUUUUGGUUGCUUCGUUAGCUGUUAGUUGUUAAAUUGCAAGGAAAUUUGCAACUCAUUUGAAAUAGUUGUUGGAGAUGGGAAAUUUAAUGCUAUCACUGAUUAAUGAAGAUUUCUCAUUGACCAAAAUAAAUUGUAUCACAUUCUACAAAAGUUGAGUAGAAAUGUUAUGGUGGUUAAGAUAUGGAGAAGAAUGGUUAGUCUAUGUUGUUAUGCCCUGAAAUCUUCGGUUAUUGCUUUCUAGUCUUUUAUUUUUUUUUUAGUGAUUAGUUCCUGAAGUUUAGAAUGUUAACCAUGGGAUUAUUUCUUUCCAGUAUCUCUCAUUAUUAUUUGUAUUAUUCGUUUGAAAGCAGCUGGUCUGUUGGAUGGUGAUGAUUAGUCUUUUGUUUUUGAAACAUAUGAUUUUCUUGGAUCUUGUUUCCGGAUAAAAGUGUAGAGGACAAUUAUGUGUGAUGGGACUUAUUGUGGAUGCUCGGGAUUGCGAAUGAAAAUUAAUUUGUGAAUAUCAUUUCAAUAGUAAUGCAUGCUGAGGAUUUUAUGUAGAUUCUCUUUUAAAUUUGUGCUUUUUGUUAACGACUAGAUGUAUUGUUCAUAUUACACUGUUGGUCUUAACUUUGGCUAAAAUUUUUAGGCUGUUGUAGACUUUAAUUUUUAUUAUAAUUAGGUUGCAAUUUAGAUUUCAAUUAGUUGUUCGGACAAUUCAAAUAUUAACGGCGCGUUUAGUUUGCGUUAUAUAACAUUACAGGUUAUUUCGACAUAAUCGUGUAUCUAAGAAUUCGAUUACUAUUAAUGCUGUAUUACGGUGUUUGAUUUAAUGUAGUAAUAUAGUACUUAAUUACAGUAUAUAUAGAAUUAGUAUGUUUAUUUUAUAUUUUAUAAAAUUCAGUAAUUCAGACAAUAAGAUGUAAUCAUAUUUGCUCAAAAUUUUAUUUUAAAUUUUAAAUUUUAAAUCAGGAAAAAAAUAUAAAAUAUAAAUUUUUUAAUUUAAAUUAUAAAUAUGAAAUUUCUAAAUUUAAAAAUUUUAAAUUUAACAUAUAAAUAUAAAUAUAAAUAUAAAUUUAAAAUUGAAAAUUGAAAAUUUAAAUUUAAAAAAUUAAAAUUUGAAUUUGAAUUUUAAAUUUUAAAUCUGAAAAAAAUAUAAAUUUAAAUAUUUUAAUUUAAAUUAUUAAUAUGAACUUUGUAAAUUUAAAAAUUUAAAAUUUAAAAUAUAAAUAUAAAGUUAAAAUCUAAAGGCCAAUUUGCAUAAAAAAUUCACAAGUUUUGAGCUUUUGCAAAGCUGAGCUGUUUUUUUCGAUUUUGCAGGUUUGGUUUGAAUUUUCAACAAACUGAUUAAAAUACCCUUACACCUUUUGCUCUUUUUUUUUUUUUUUUUUUUUUUUCGCCGAAGAAAUCGACGGAGGGGGAGGCGGAAACGGUCCGCCCCCCUACCUCUAUCCCUCAUGUCCUCGCCCGCGCACUCCUCGCCUCUGACGCUGCCUAUGUCGCGCCGCGAUUCUCAUUUUUUUUUUCCUCUCUGACCCUUCUCUGCCCGCCGUCUCCACCGCCGCCACCGGCGACAAAAAGGAAGUGCUUCUCGGGGCCGAGAAGCACGCCGACGAGGAAGGAGGAGAAAAAUAGUUACACUCCGGUGAAGACGAUGGUUGCGAUAGAGGAAAAGGAAGAGUUCGUGACAAAAAAAAAUUAUAAAGAAAAAGAAAAUAAGAAUAAUAAAAAAUAAAAUAAAAAUAUUUUUUUCUACAGGAAAGAUCAAAAAUCAUAAAACAAGGAAGAAAAAGAUGAAAUUAUACUGUUAAAAUAAAGUUACACUGUUUUAAAAAAUUUGUGCACUGUUUUAGAUGAAAAUUGCACUUUUUGAGAUAAAAAUUACACUUUUUGGAAUGAGAGUUACACUCUUGCAAAAGUUCACUAUUUGGGUGAAAUUUACAAUAUUUCUUAUUCUAUUCUUCUUUCUCUUCUUUCUCUUCUUUCUCUUCUUUCUUCCUCUCUAUUUUCUCGUCCUCCUCCACUUUCUCCGCCGCCGUCGCUGUCAAACGCCCUUCGCGCUGCCGCUCUCCUUCUCCGCUGGCGCCCACGCGCGACGAGGUUGAGAACGAGGGAGUUGACGAGGCGGGGGCCGCGGAGGGAGGAGAGGAUGUCGAUCUCGUUCUCGAACGAGGGGGUUUGAAUGACCUCCAAGCAAACAGCUAAUGAAUUUUCGAGUAUUAAAUAGUUCUCUUUAGCCUAUGGAGAUUCCAUAAAGCUUUCUUCUCUUUAGUAUCAUCUUGGAUGAUAUUGGGUGAAUCAAACGAAGUGAUUCUCAUAGAAUUGCCUAAACCAAAUGCAGUGAUUCUCACAGAAUUGCUUGUAAUCCUAGUAGGAAUACUCGAACGCCCUAAAUGGGAUAAAUUGGUUGUUAUUUAAAUUGUUAUUUCGUGUCAUCACUAUUCAACUAUUAUAUUAUCAAAAAAGAUAAAUUUGAUAAUUACAAGAUAACCCGAUAUCAGUAAUAUGAAAUACUCACCCUCCACUCGGUAAUAUUUUCGGUGUAAUCCUGCACCAUUUGUAAUACUACAUUACUGGCUAGAUUACAUAUUGGAUGAACCAAAAGUAGUUGUCAUACCCCGGUUUACCACGUUUCUCCGGGCACGCUAACAGAUCCCACCGUAUACAUAGAAAUUUUUCGUAUAUACGAAGCGAUAGCUGUAUCUGUAAGCACGUUAAAGCUACAACCAUAGUCCGAAGCUGCUAAAAACAAACACAAGUAUAUAUAUAUAUAUAUAUAUAUAUAUAUAUAUAUAUAUAUAUAUAUAAAACAAAAUGGGUUCAUUGUACAUACACAGGCUACAACACCUCCUCGCUCCAGCGAGUACUACCACAACAAAACAGUAUGUAUAUAAAAUCCAAAACUACCUCUGACAGGUGCUCCUCUAGCAAAUGACCAAGGAAGGAUUGACUCUAGCUCGCUACUCCCUUGCCUCGGUUCGAAUCCACAACAGCAGCAGCCACAGACGAAGGCUCUGCAAAAGGUGUAAACAAUUGGGUGUGAGAACUACUGCAAAACAGAGUAGUUCUCAGUGGAUAUCGUCACCGACCUUAACGACCCACCCACUAAGUCUACAGAAAUAUAUAAAAAGGAUAGUAAGAAAAGCUGGAAAGAACUCUACAGCUACAUGCCACUAUACUAUCGCUAACCAACACAGCCUAUCUGUAGAUAUAAACAUGCAUCACUAGCUAUUACUGAUUCAAUCUCACACGGGCUGCCCAAACGGAUCCACCAUGCUUGUAGCCAAGCUACACAGUACACCACCCACGGGGGUGGUUGGUCCAAAAAAAUGGUCCAAAAUAGGACGGUUGCGACAUCAAUGCAAGUCAAAACCUCACUCCGGAGCGGCACUCGUGGGCGCGACCCAACCGAGUAUGCAAGCGUGUCUCUGCCGAGCUCAAUCAGGCUCUCACAAGCUGUAAUCAAUGCAAAUGGGUCUAAUUAGUCUAACAACCAAAGCUCACGUGCCCUUGGCGCAAUCUAAUGCAAAUCUGGGUCCACCGUCAACCGCGACGGCACCCUACAGUACGGAACAGUCUACACACUACUGUAAAAUGAACUCGACCCCUCAGCACGAGCGUAAACUCACCCUACACUAAUUUGUGUAUCCAGUACGCACUAACAGCGGGGAUACAAAAGAACAACAGCUCCUGAAGCUAAAUCUAGUAACUUUUCAGAAAAUGACGGUGUAGGUUUAACGAGUUUUCUCCUAAAUCAAAUCCCAAUUCAACAUGUAUACAUCAUCAAAAAUCACUAAAUAAUACUCCAAAAUUCGAAUGUCAAUAAAGUAUACAAAUCCACGAAUUUGAGCCACUAAUCAUGAUGAAUAAAGCCAAGAAUACAUGCUGGUAAUGCUAUGACUUAGAAGGAAAUGUAACGAUUUCGGUAAACAUUAACCCACCUCGAGCGCUCGUCCAACGUCGGCUAGAAGUCGAUAGGAGAACCCGCGUGCUCGCUUGACCUCCAAAGGUUCACUCGAGGCGACCCACGCACACGAACGGUCCUCCUAGCAAGCGAAGACUCCACACGAGCUCGACCCUUGACUUCCCAACGAGCGGCGUUCACGAUCUAGAGAGAGAGAAGAAGAAGAGUGACUAUCUGUUCUCCCAAGGCUCUCUACACAACUCUAUAUAAGCUGGGUUGGUUGGGAUGAACGACACUUCAAAAGGACCAAAAUACCCCUCACCAACUCACUUUUCUAUAUGGAGUAUCGGUACUCAGCUUGAAUACCGGUACUCGGCCUCUCAAUCCGUAGUCUCGCGCGCUGGGUACCGGUAUCAGCCUAAUGCAGUACCGGUACCUGAGCUUGAUACCGGUACUCCACAAUAGGUAUCGGCACUCAGCAUCAGACGCAAACUUGAGAGCAUCCAGUUCUGCAAUCUCACUGGGGUACCGGUACUUCUCCCCAGGUACCGGUACUCAUCACUGAAAUCAUGCACUUUGCAGAUUUCAGUGUCAUAACUCCACUCUCGCGCCGCACUGAGUCCGUUUUGCGUCCAUUUUGCGCCAAAACCACUCCGACUUGUCUCGACACCAACCACACGUGCCGAGAAGCCAUCGAUGCUGAAAUCUCACAGACCACUAAACACUAGGGACACUAUAGUAGUAAUUUUGGCAGGAUUGCCCGUAAUCCUGUCAGGAUAACCCGAAACAAACGCACCUUUAGGGGUUGUUUGAUUUCAUGUAAAAAUUUUUUAAAAAAUUUUCGGUGGAAAAUUUGUUUUCAAAGGAAACUAAUUUUACGCUCUAUAGUAUUUGGUUUGUAGGAAAUUUUUUUUUUCGUUACAGUUGUUUGGUUGAAAGGAAAAAAAAAGAAAAUGUUAUAAAGAGAAAACUAUUAUAUAUAUAUAUAUAUAGAGUCCGGCUACUAUACUCUUAUGAGUACGAUCGCCCUCGUACUCAUAAGUCGUUAUUUUUUCGCACUCAUAGCCGGACUCAUAGAGCCCAGCUACUAAAUAAAGAUCAAUAACUCCGAUCUUAAAUUGAAUAAUCCAAUUAACCAUUUUGAGGAUGUCGUUUGAUUUUGACCGUUCAUUUUAUGCUCGCUUGAUGGACUUUAUUAUGAUUUCGAAAAAUUACGAAAUUUAUUUUUUAGAAGUUUCAAAUACUCUAGAUUAUAUUUAACGGAGUGGAUCGUCGAUUCGGAAGCUCCAUCAUCGAAAAUAACCUAUGAAUACGAAGGGCCCAGUACUCAUAAGAGUAUAGUAGUCCUACUAUAUAUAUAUAGUAGGGCUAGAAUACUUGUAAAAGUAUCAUGGGGGUGAUACUUGUGUGUUUUUAGCCCUUGGAUGGAGAGAUGUGAGGUUGAGAUGAUGGUGGUAGGUGGUGGUAGGUGGAAUAGUGUUUAAUCCAAGGGCUAUUAAUAAUCAAAAAGUAGAUCCAAUGGCUUAAAACCUAAUAGCACCAUGAUGGUGAUGCUUGUAAAAGUAUCAUAGUUGAGUUAGAAUACUAUCGGUAGCAAAUGGGCUCCGUUGCCACCCAUUUGUUUUCGAUGAUGUAGCAUCCAAAUCGAUGAUCCGUACCGUUGAAUAUGAUCUAUACCUCUUGAAGUAUCUAAAAAUCAAUUUCAUGCUUUUUCGAUAUUGUUCUCUUGUCCAUCAAGUGGGCGUAAAAAUGAACGGCUGAAAAUGAAUAUCCUCUAAAAAGUGAUGAUAUUAAUUUUGUAAUCAAGAUCGGGAGUAUAGAUUUUAUUCUAAAUAGUUUAAAGAAUUUUCUAACCAAAAUUCAAUUGAUUUGAAUAGCUUUACACCGUUAAACGAGAAAAUGCCUCAUAUCUACCAUUAAAAUUACAAAUUUUGAAACCGUUUGAUCAUUAGGUCAAUGAUGUCGAAAUGAUUUGAAAUUUAGUUUCUAGAUAUUUUAAGUGGUAUAGAUCAUGUUCAAUGGUGCCGAUCGUCAAUUUAAAGGCUCCAUCAUCGAAAACAAAUGGGUGACAACGGAGCUGGUUUGCUACUGAUAGCAUUCCAGCUCAACACACACUCUCUCUCUCUCUCUCUCUCUCUCUAUAUAUAUAUAUAUUCUUUUAUUCUAUAUAUUAUAUAUUAUUGAUAUAUAAUGAUUAUUAUAUUAUAUAUGAGUUGGGCUGGAAUACUAUUGAUAAUAUUUGACCCGUUUUGCUAUCAAGUUUUUAAUCCUUAGAUGAGAAAUUGUAGGGUUACGAUGAUAUUAGUCCUUUAGGGUUGAGUGGUCCUCCUAGGGUUGAGUGGUCCCCACUUGAUUAUAAUAUUUAAUCUAAUUGUUAGAAAUGAUCAAAUAAAUUGAUCCAAAAGUUAAAAACAUGAUAGCAAAAAGGGACAAAUACUAUUAAUAUUAUUCUAGCCCAACUCUAUUAUAUAUAUUAGUAUUAUAAUUUAUAUUUAUAUUAAAAUAUAUUAUACAAUAACUAUAUAAUAUAAUACUAUAUAUUAUAUAUUAUUUAUUUAUUUAUUUUUUCUUUUGAGAGAUAGGUAGCAUGCUAUUCGUCUCCUCAGGUACCAACCACCUAGCCCUUUGCCACUUGCGCUAGGGACGGUCGGUAUAUAUAUUAUAUAUUAUUGAUAUAUAAUGAUUAUUAUAUUAUAUAUAUUAGUAUUAUAGUUUAUAUCUAUAAGUAAAGUAUAUUAAAAUAUAUUAUAGAUAAGUAUAUAAUAUAAUAUAUGAUAGUAUAUAAUAUUUAAUGCUAUAAAAUAAAUUACUAUAUAUUUAUAAAUAAUAUUUAUUUGUUAUAGUUGUUUGGUGAAAGGAAGAAAAAAGGUAAUAUUAUAAAUAGAAAACUAUUAUAUAUAUAUAUAUAUUAUAUAUAUAUAUAUAUAAUAUAUAUAUAAUAUUAUUAUUCUAUUUAUUAUAUAUUAUUGAUAUAUGAUGAUUAUUAUAUUAUAUAUAUUAGUAUUAUAGUUUAUAUCUAUAAGUAAAGUAUAUUAAAAUAUAUAUAGAUAAGUAUAUAAUAUAAUAUAAUAUAGAUAGUAUAUAAUAUUUAAUGCUAUAAAAUAAAUUACUAUAUAUUUAUAAAUAAAAUUAUUUAAUAAUCUAUUUAUAUAAAAAUUAAUAUCAUAUAUAUAUAUAUAUAUAUAUAUAUAUAUAUAUAUAUAUAUAUAUAUAGAGUGAGGCUACUAUGCUUUUGGAAGAACGGAGCCUUUCGUGCUUCCAGAUCGUUUUCGAUGUUGCGACUUUCGAAUCGUCGAUCGGCUCCAUUAAAUUUGAUCUAGAGCAUUUGAAGUAGCUAGAAAAUAAAUUAUGCGAUUUUUGAUAUUAUUUGCCUAGUGAACGAAGGGGCUCAAAAUCAACGGCUGAAAUAAAAAUCUUUCAAAACGUGAUAAUAUAACAUUUAAAUUUUAGAUCAAAGAUAUUGAUCUUGUUUUAUGUAGUAUAAAGAAUUUUCUAUCAAAAUUUCACAUGAUUUGGAUAUUUCUACACCGUUAAACUUGCAAACGGCUCACUACGGCCAUUAAAAUUAGUUGAUUUUGAACCCCUUCAAUCACUAGGCAAAUGAUAUUGAAAAAUCGUAAAAUUUAUUUUCUAGGUACUUCAAAUACUCUUAGAUCAAGUUUAACGGAGCCGAUCGACGAUUCGAAAGUCGCAACAUCGAAAACGACUUGAAAGCACGGAAGGCUCCGUGCUUCCAGAAGCAUAGUAGCCUCACACUAUAUAUAUAUAUAUAUAUAUAUAUAUAUAUAUAUAUAUAUAGAGAGAGAGAGAGAGUUGAGCUAGAAUACUAUCAGUAGUAAACGAGCCGUUUUACUACCGAUUUGUUUUCGAUGAUAGAACUUCCAAAUUGACGAUCGGCUCCGUUGAACAUGAUCUAUACCAGUUGAAGUGUUUAGAAAUCAAAUUUCAAAUCUUUUCGACAUCAUUUGUCUAAUGAUCAAAGGGUUUCAAAUUUUGUAAUUUUAAUGGUCGAUAAGAGGCGUUUUCUCGUUUAACGGCGUAAAGAUAUCCAAAUCAAUUGAGUUGAGCUGGAAUGCUAUCAGUAGCAAACCAGCUUCGUUGCCACCCAUUUGUUUUCGAUGAUGGAGCCUUUAAAUUGACGAUCGGCACCAUUGAACAUAUAUGUACAUUUCAAAUUUCGGUUUGUUGACCGGCCAUUUGAAAAUUUCUCAUUUUUUCGUACACAAAAUAAAUAACGUAACGAAACAAACUUUUAGUUCUUUUAUUUUUCCUCCAACUAUUAAUAUUUAUUUUUUAUUAAAUAUUUUUAUCAUUCAAUAUUUUUUUAAGAUAAAUAUUUAUAUAUUAUCUCUAUUCUAUCUACUAAUAUUUUAUUAUUAUAUUCACUUUUUAACUUUAAUCAUUUUAGUUUAAAAUAUAUAUUUAAAUUUUUUAUUUGUUAGAACAAAAAAUAUAGAAAAAUAUUCAUUGUAUAUCUAUAUAUGUACACUAUAUAUAAAUUUUAUAAAAUAAAAAAAACUAAAUAAUUAUUGUUGGCAUUGGCUAUUUAAAUGUAGGAUUGAAUGAUUAGGAUAAUUAUAAGAUUUGGUGUGCUUCCGACUUUUUGGCCCUUCGAUCAAGGAUGGAAUGAUUAGGAUAAUUGUAGUCACUCUAGGGUUAAGUGGUCCCCACAUGAUACUAAUAUUAAUCCAAAGGUUAGAAAUGAUCAAAGAGGUUGAUCUAAAGGCCAAAAAGUAGGAAGCUGAUAGCAUAGUAGCUCUACUCUCUCUCUCUAUAUAUAGGGAUAAUUGCCUAUAUACCCCCCAAAACUUCAAAAAUAUCUUAUUUGCUCAUAUUUUUUUUCUUUUCAAUUUAUCCCUCAUAUGUUCCUUCGAUAUUCCAAAAUACCCUGCAGUUGUUAGUAUUUUGAUUUAAAACAAGUGAUUUAAAACUUCUUUAUAUGCUNGAGGCAUACGCAUUUAUUUAUUGCUUACAUAAAUAUUUGUGGAUAUCUGUUGCACUAACAUGAUUGCAGUGCCUUCUUUGGACCUGGUGGGUUGAGCUUCUCCCUUGGGUGGCCGUACCCACUGGAAACUAUGGACAAUAGUUCUCACCCCACGUUGUUUCGGGGGAUUUCAGGUUCACACGUGAGCGGCGCGGCGGCGCGAGAAAAAGGCGUAGCUCCGUAGAUAGCGCCCUACCACCGAGACCAGAGAUAGCGGUACCCCAGUCGGCUUAGCUAGGGUAUAGAAAAUGAAAGAAACAAACUUGUAAUAAUUCGAAAUCAGUGAUUGUAUUUGGAAGAAAAAUGUAGUAUGUAAACUGUGAUGAAUGCUUGUAAUAGUAUAGAUGUAAUUAUAUUUUUAAUACUUCCUUAUGCAAUCUUUGCUUGAAUACUAUUCUUGGUUGGAACCUCAUGUAUUGUAUUGAUUGCGACGCAUUGGACGUACAGGGGAAACUCUGUCCGCGGUACAGAAAAAACCCUGUCCAUUCAGCGGCUGUUGGCGGCCCAAACCCGACCAAAUAGGCGGGGCCGCGGGCUCUGACACGAAGUCUCAAGUUCGAAACCUAGUUGCUUUAUAUUUUCAGCUAAGUACAAAGCAAGUAGUAUGCUACCUUUUUUCUAAAAAAUAAAUGUUACAGUAUUUGUGCUAUAUUAUCUAUUCCUACACAUUAUUUCUCCAAAAGUUGCCACAUAGCAACUUUCCCUUCAUAGUUGAAUGUGGGCUUCACCUCGAACUAGUUCAAGUCCUUCCUCUUCCUUUUUCUUCGGCUGUUACUUUCGUUCAUCGGCAAGAUGAAUCCCACCUCUCAUCAUCCAUUUUUUUAUCGUUAUUUUUUCUUUUUUUAUCGAUGUUUUCUAUUUUUUAAUUUCUCUAAUUAGCUACUCGUCGCAUCGCACGAGUUACUACGUUAUUUGUACAUAAUUGUACUUAUCUAUACCUAUACAUUAAUCCCCAAAAGAAAUGCCACAUGACUGUGUUUUCUUCACUGUUGGCUUUCACCUUAUUAAACCAACUCUUCGCUACGCACAUAACGUCAAAUUAACGAGUCCACCCAACUUAACCAUAUCUAAACCGUAAACUUAGAAACCCACACAAAAAGCCCAACCCUUCGUCUUUCCUUCACAUAUAAUGUUUAAUUAAUGCGUCCACCCACCCUAACCCUAAUAUAAUCGUAAACCAUACAAACUCACAUAAAAGCCCCUUUUCUCCUAUGCAUGUCAUAAAAAUAAAAGCCUACUCAUUUUUUAUAAUAAAUUAUGACCUCCUUCAUUUGGCAAAAGGUGUGGCAUACAUUUACUUUUUUCUUUUUUUUUUUUGUUAACUCCUAAUUUUGGUGUUUUUUCCAAAUCCUUUUACAAGGUUUCAAACACACCCUUUGUGAAAUUGAUACCACUUCCCAUAGAACGGAGACUUGCGGGAUGAAAAUUUUGUGGGAAGACAGUUCUAAAAUGUCCAAUAUAAAAAUUUAAAUCUUGAUACCUUUUUAUUAAAAGACUUUCUAUAUAGUAUAGCUUGUAUUUAUAAAUUAGAAAUAGAAUUUUAUUAUUUUAAAAAUUAUUAUCAAUUCCAUUAAAAAGUUGAAAAAUAAAUAGCUGAAAGCUUUUACAAUAUUUAAUCAUAUAUUUCUCCAGUAGAAUUUUCAGCAUAUAUUUAUAGCAUUGGAGGGAAAGGGUCGAAACUAUUUUUAGAUUUUUUUAAAACAUUUUUAAGAAUAAAAGUGAUGCUUUUAGCCACUUCAUUAUCAAUUUCGAAACGAAGCCGCAACUAAUUUUAUUUGAUUAAGAUUUCUUAAUUUUUUAAAUGUGAAUAAAUUCAACUGCAUGCAUCUCCAACUACACUAUACUUGUAAUUACAUCUAAUCAAACGGUCCGUUAUUGUCACAAAUAUUUCUAUUUAUGCCUAUAAUUCUGCCGGACAUCCUUUGUGUGUUAUUCAUAUUCAUUACAAAAAAAUAAUUAUUUAGAAUGAUAUCUACAGCAUUUUCUUUGGUCACAAAAUAUUUAAAUAUAUAACAACAUAAUUAAGUUGUGACAAAUGAUCAUUAGAAAAGCAAAAUACACUAUUCAAUUUUAGUCUUAUUUUUAUAUUUAGUUGUUAGAAAGAAAAAUAAUCAUUACAAUCCACAGUAAUAGAAUACCAUUACCAAGUACAUUAGCAAAAUUAUACUCUAAUAAAUGCAUCUCAAAAUUAGAAGACCCAACAUUACAAAAUUUUUAUAUAGCACCCGAGGAUUUUAUAGUUCAUGAACAUAGAGGAUCAUCCCAAUUUUUACAAAACAAAAAUUCUCACACUUGAGAUUUGGCAGUAUUGUAGGUCAUGAAAUAAACUUUCUAUAUUAUUUAGCAUGAUAAACCAAUGUUUUAGAGAUAAAAUUGGAUGAAAGUGAAAUUUGCAUCUUGAAAUCUACUUCCGAUUUUGGACUGAAAUUUUAUGUUAACAUUUUAAUUUUUUAUUCAACUUCUAAAUUUAAAUUUAAAUUUUAAAAUUUAUAUUUCAACUAAUAAAUUUUAAACUUUGAAUUUAAUUUUAAAAUUUAAAUUUAUAUUUAAAAUUUCAAUUUUUAAAAUAUAAAUUUUAAAUUUUUAUUUAAAAUUGAAAGUCAAAAUAUUAAAUAUUAAAUAUUAAAAAUCUAAAAUUUUAAAUUUUAAAUUUAUAUUGUACAUUCAAAUAUCAAAUUUUAAAUUUUGUUACAAAUUUUAAAUUUUAAAAAUAAAAUUUCAAAUUAAAAUUCAGCAAAAAUAAUUAUUAUUUGCAAAUGGCACAAAAGAUUUUCUAAACAGUUUUUUAAAAUUACUUUAGAAAAAUUGAUUUUCUAUUAGACUCAGCCGAUCAUUCGACAACUUUUAACCAAAACUAAUUCUCCAAAUCAAAAUCGUUAAGCAAAAAUCACUUUUAUAGAAUCAAAGCCAAACAGCCUUAUAUAUUGCCAAGAAUAAUAUUUAUUGAUUUUAGUGUGACACCACUAUUUACCAAAUCCUUUCAAGCCAUACAUUACAAGGCUGCCAAGAAUAAUAUUUAUACAUUUUGAAACUCGUUGGGUCCAAACCAUCAGCCUAAAAUGUUUAAGUUUAGUUAUUAUGUCUAUCCAAUCAAGCUUAUAUACUUCUACAUCUAGUCAUAACUAUCUGAUGUGAGAAUAUUAGGGUGCCACAUGUACACUGCAAGAAAAUACUGAAACUUUACAAAGCAUCAUCAUAUAUUUGGCAUAUGCUAAUAAUUCUCCUAAUUUCAGUACACUUUUACUACAAAUAGAGUUUGUAUAUGCGAUCUUUUCUGAGUAGAGCUUUUCUCUUUAUUUCUGCCUUUGUUGUUUUCUUAAUCUUGUAGCGUCUUUGGGCUUGAUUGAAGUACCUACAUUUUCGCGCCCAUGCCCAACUAAAGAAAGCUUCGGCCUUUCCCCCCUCCCCCAAACUGCCUUCCCAUUCCCUCUCGCUCUCCUCAAUACCUGCAUUAGUUAGUAACAUCUCUUUUUCCCCUUCAUAACUUCUAGUUUUAUAUCGACCGUCCCUAGCGCAAGUGACAAAGGUUUGGUAAUUGAUAUCCGAGGUCGCGAGUUCGAAUCCUAAUUGAUUCACAUUUUCAGCUAAGUUUAUUAAACGAAGCGGGUAGCAUGCUCUCUCUCACUUUCUCUCUCUCUCUCUAAUAAUAAAAAAUAAAAAAAAAAAAAAAAAAAACUUCUAGUUCUAUCGCGCCGAACAACUCUCCUUCCAUGCUAGUCGAUCAUCUUUGGUCCUAUCCUCCUUUCUGCUGCUAUUAUUUUCUUCGUCUUCUUUCUAUGGUGGUGUUGUGCGGGAAUUCAAACACUGUACCUAUCCGUGCUAUCCAAGUUCUUUAAGUACUGCCUUUUUCGUCGCAAUUCUUUUCCUUGGCAGUUCAAGUCAUAUUUUCGGUCUUGCGUAGAUUUUGUAUUCCCUCGUGAUCGCAGUCGCCGUCCUCUCGUUGCGGCCCGGUGUGCACCUGCCAAUGUCGAUGCUGAGGAAAACGCUAUCGUGCCUGACAUCGACUCCCAAGACGUUGACUCUGAUGACGCCAUUGCUGCUGCUGAGAUCGAGCUUGCGGUUGUCUAGCCGUAGGAAGAUUCUCAUAAAAAUAUUGGUAGGUUAUACUGAUCCAUCUACAUUCGUUUUCUCUUAACAUCUUUAUUGCAUUGCUUAAUUAUGACUGUUAUUUAUGUGCAUGUAUGGUUAAGAACAUGCAUUAAUCAUAUUUAUAUAGAAUGAAAAAUUGAGAUUUUGGAAAUGAGGAGCCAGAUUAGUUUUAGUUUUCAGAUUGAAGUUUCACUCUAUAUAUAUACUAAUUAAACUUGCUGUUGAUAGUAUAAAAAAUUUUCUUUGAAAAUUUUUUCAAAUUAGAAUAGUUUUACGUAAUUAAACUUGCAAAUGGCACAUAUCAAUCAUCAAUCAUUAAACUUUAUUGAUUUUGAACCCGUUUGGUCAUUAGGUAAAUGAUAUCGAAAAAUCGUAAAAUUUAUUUCUUAGAUACUUCAAAUACGUUAGAUCAGAUCUAAUGGAGCUGAUCGUCGAUUCGAAAGUUUAAGCAUAAAAAACGGUUUAGGAGUACAGAGGUCUUAGUGCUCUAAUAGCGCGCACACAAGUCAAGUCAUACUUAUAUAUAUACUAAUUAUAUUGCACGUGCGAUGCACGUCACAUUUAAUUAAAUUAAAUUUAUAUUUAUAUUUUAAAUAAUUAUUGGUGGUAUAAGUCUAUUUGUCAAUUAAUUUUUUUUCUAACUUUAAUUUUUUUAAUGUGUAUCCAAAUUUUAAAAAUUGAAGUAAUUCUAAAUUUUAAAUUAAAGAAUUCAUAUUUAAAUUUAUGAACAAAACUCAAAAUUUGAAGUUAAUUUUGAAUCCAUAAUUUGAAUUUAAAUGGUUAUUAGAGACAUUGAUUUAUUUAUCAUCCCAUCUAUUUUUCAAAUUUGAUAUAUUUUCAAGUUAAUUAAUUAUUUUCGAUUUGAAAUACUGUUUACACACUCAAAUAUUAAAAUUUUAAUUAAUUUCAAAUUUUGAAUUAAAAUAUAAAUUUAUAUUUGAAAUUAUGAACCAAAUUUAAAAUUUAAAGUUGAUUUUAUUUCAAACCUAAUUUCUAUUGAGAGAUAUUAAUUGGAUACUAAAUAUUUUCAAUGUGUGUUGCGUAGAGAUUUUCGUUUUUUUUAUGAGUAUGGAAUAUUCUUUUAUGGGGCGUUUGUGAAAAAUAUUCAACAGCAGAUAUCCUUCGGUUGACAGAAAUUUGGAUAAGCAUGAAUUUUUAUAUUCUCGUAAAUGAAAUGCAAUACUUUUUCCUACUAAAAAAAGAUCUGUCAACAACUAUUUUAAUUAUUAUCUCAAAUCAAUGUAAAUUUGUAAAUCACAUUUAUUACAAAUUUAAAAUUUUAAAUUGUAAAUUCAUAUGUUAUAUUUUAUUGGAAAAUAUCUCAUAUUUUAAAUAUUAGUAGAUAAAAUUAAGAUAAUUUUUAUAUAUUCACCUUUUAAAAAAUAAUUAAAUAUUAUAUGUGGAAGGUAUUACAUGAUUGGAUAUUAUAUAGGCGACAGGUUUUACAUGUGAGAAAGUGUGAGACCCCAGAUAGUCCUAUAUAUAAGAUAUAAUAGGGCUAAACUCUUAACCCGGCUUAAGUAUUUUGGGUGAUGGCAAGGCCCAAGAGGUUAAGAGAGUUAAGCGUGCUAGGACGGGAGUAGUCCUAGGAUGGGUGACCCCUUGGGAAGUCGGGGCGUCACAGAAAGAGAAUAUUUAAGAAAUAUGUAGAUUGCAAAUAUUAUUUGUGAUAAAAUACGAUAUUAUAUGGACGACGGUUAUUAGAAGAUAGGGUACGUAGAUAAAAAAAUAAAAUUUGAUACGCACUAUUUGAGGGCAAUUUAAAUAAAAAAAAUGACAGAUACUUAAUUUGUCAGCCAUUGUAUUAGAUCCAAUGACUAAAAUUAAUAUAUUUUAUGGUAAUUCAAAAAUAAAAUAAAAGUUAUUCCAUUAAAGUUGAAUAAAUGAUAUUUCCAGUAUAUGAUUGGAAUUAUAUUAAUAGGUACCGGCAUUUUGGAAUUUUAUAUAUAUAUAUAUAGAACUAGGCUGGAAUACUAUCAAUAGUACCAAGCUAUUGGUGCUAUUAAUUUUUUAGCCUUUGGAUUGAGAAAUGUUUGGUUAGGAUGAUGUGGGUCCCCUAGGGUUAAGUGAGUGGUUGGUUGAAUAGUAUAAUCUAAUGGAUUAGAAUAAUCAAAGGGGUAAAUCUAACGGUAGAAAAUUGGAUAUCACCAAAUUCUUGAUGCUAUCGAUAGUAUCCCAGUCGGACUCUCUCUCUCUCUAUAUAUAAUGUAAAAAAUAUUUUAAUAAGUAUUUCAAAUUAAUAUAAAUUUUAUACAUUAUAUUUAUUCAAAAAUUUACAAUAUAAAAUUUAAAUUUAAAAAAGUAAAUUCAUUUAUUAUAUACUAUUAUAAAGUAUCUGUCACAUUAUAACUCAAAUUUAAAUAAUUGUCGCCAACAAUAAUUAUAUAGUUUUACUUUUUAUAUUAUAAAAUUUAUAUAUAGUGUAGAUAUAGAUAUACAUUAAAUAUUUUUUUAUAUUUUUUAAUUUUGACAAAUUUAAAAUUAAUAUAUAUUAUAAACUAAAAGUAUAAAAUUUUAAAAAGUUAAUAUAACAAUAAAAUAUUAGUAGAUAGGAGGUAAUAUAUAAAUAUUUAUCUUAAAAAGAAAAGAUAUUGAAUGAUAAAAAUAUUAAAUAAAAAGAUAAAAUAUUAGUAGUUGGAGAAAAAAGAGGAACUAUCGUUAUGUUAUUUAUUUUGUGUACGAAAAAAAAGGAAUUUUGAAGUAGGUCUGUCGACAGACCGAAAUUUGAAAUACGUGCUUUUAUAUAUAGUAUAGAUAUAUAUAUAGGUUAGGGCUACUAUAUUCUUAUGAGUAUAGAGCCAUUUGUACUAAUAAGUUUUCGGCCGUUGGAUAAAGGGAUGUGCAGUUAGGAUGAUAGUAAUCCUCGAUUUAGGAUGAUAGUGUGACACCCCAACUUUCUAGGGCGUCACCCAUCUUAGGACCACUCCCGUCCUAGCACGCAUAACUCUUUUAACCUCUCGGGUCUAGCCACCGCCCAAAAUGUUUAAGCCGGGUUAAAAGUUUUAGCCCUAUUAUAUCUUAUAUAUAGGACUAUCUGGGGUCUCACAGAUAGUGGUCCCCUAGGGUUGAGUAGGUGAUUGGUUGAAUAGUAUGAUCUAACGGAUGAAAAUGGUCAAAUGUAUAGAUCUAACAGGCGAAGACUUAUGAGUACAAAGGAACCUAUACUCAUAAGAGUAUAGUAGCUGUACUCUAUAUUUAUAUAUGUAUGUAUGUAUAUGUGUGUGUGGAAUUGAGUUCCUAUGCUUUUAAAAGUACCAAGUUAUUGGUGCUUGUAGGUUUUCGGCCUUUGGAUUAAGGGAUGUGUGGCUAGGAUGAUAGUGGUCCUCCUAGGGUUGAGUGGGUGGUUGGUUAAAUAGUACGAUCUAAUGGAUGGAAAUAGUCGAAGAAGUAGAUUUAACAGCGGAAAACUUACAAGCACCAAGUGCUUUGUGCUUUUACAAGCACCAUAGCCAGCCUCUAUGUGUGUGUGUAUAUAUAUGUAUAUAUGUAUAUGUAUAUACUUGUGUAUGUAUGUAUAUGUAUAUACAUAUAUAUAUAUAUAUAUAUAUNUUAAAUUUUAAAAAGUUAAUAUAACAAUAAAAUAUUAGUAGAUAGGAGGUAAUAUAUAAAUAUUUAUCUUAAAAAGAAAAGAUAUUGAAUGAUAAAGUUAUUUCGUAAACAAAUAAAAUAUUACUAGUUGGAGCAAAAAAAAACUAAAAGUUUGUUUUGUUAAUGAAUACGUAACGAUAUUUAUAUUCUUUUUUUUUUCUCUAACGGAGAACUUUAAAUAAAAAUAUUUAAAUAUUUAUCUUAAAAAGAAAAGAUAUUGAAUGAUAAGAAUAUUUAGUAAAAAGAUAAAAUAUUAAUAGUUGGAGGAAAAAAAAAAACUAAAAGUUUGUUUUGUUAAUGAAUACGUAAUGAUAUUUAUUUUCUCCUUUUUUUUCUCUAACGGAAAACUUUAAAUAAUUAAAUAUUUAUCUUAAAAAAAAUUAUUGAAUGAUAAAAAUAUUUAGUAAAAAGAUAAAAUAUUAAUAGUUGGAGGGAAAAAAAAAACUAAAAGUUUAUUUUUUUAAUGAAUACGUAAUGAUAUUUAAAUUCUCCUUUUUUUUCCUCUAACGUAGAACUUUUCUCUAAUAGAUAAUCUCAAAUAGAAAUAUAAAAAUGAAAACAAAAAUUGUCGGGAAUAAAUAUAUAAUAAUAUUUAAAUUUCUCUUUUUUUUAUCUUUUCUUUUUAACUAAGCAUUAAAAUACGUGCUGGAGCAUAAAAUUCAUAAAAUCGAUAUUCACUUGAUCAAAUGUGGAUCAAAAUUAAAUUUUAAAUUUGAGUUAGAAUAUGACAUAUAUUAUCUACCAUCCUCGUUCCUAUUCUUAUCCUUUUUCUUUUUUUUUUUGAGAGAUAGGUAGCACGCUACACGCUUAGUUUAUUUCAUUUAGAAAUAAACUUAGCUGAAAAUGUGAAUCAACCAAGAUUCGAACUUGGAACCUCGGAUACCAACCACCAAGCCUUUUGCCACUUGCUCUAGGGACGGUCAGUUGACAAACCAAAAUUUAAAAUAUAUGCUUUUAUAUAUUGUAAUAGUUUAUAGAUAUUUAGACUUUUGAAAUAGGUUUGUUGACAAACUGAAAUUUAAAAUAAUUUAUGUUUUAUUACUUAUUUGAAAAGAAAGAUAUUUUUAAAUUAAAUAGGAAAAUAAUUUUUUCCCACCCCACCCUUAGAGAAAAAAUUAAAUUAAAGUUUGUUUGUUAUGUAUCAUUCAUUAUGUAUUCAUUUCUAUCGGUUCCUAUUCUUAUUCUUACGUAUUAAUUUCCAACGGUUCUUUUUCUUAUCCUUAUAUUUGAAUUUUUAAAAUAAGUCUAUCGACAGACCGAAACUUAAAAUAUGUGUUUAUAUAUAUAUAUAUAUAUAUAUAGAAUUAGGCUAAUAUACUAUUAAUAGCACCAAGUUAUUGGUACUACCAAGUUUUCGGCCAUUGGAUUAAAAAAUGUGCGAUUAGGAUAAUGUGGGCCCUCUAGGGUUCAGUGGGUGGUUGGUUGAAUAGUAUGAUCUAAUGGGUAAAAAUGAUCAAAAGGAUAGAUCUAAUGGCAGAAAACUUAAUAGCACUAAGUGUUUCGUGCUAUUAAUAGCAUAGUAGCCGGACUCUAUAUAUAUAUAUAUAUAUAUGAGUCCGGCUACUAUGCUAUUAAUAGCAUGAAACACUUGGUGCUACCAAGUUUUCCGCCUUUAAAUCUACCCUUUUGAUCAUUUUCACCCGUUAGAUCAUACUAUUCAACUAAUCACCUACUCAACCCUUGGGGGCCCACAUCAUCCUAACCGCACAUCUCUUAAUCCAAUGGCUAAAAACUUGGUAGUACCAAUGACUUAGUGCUAUUAAUAGUAUAUUAGCCUAGUUCUAUAUAUAUAUAUAUGUCACGCUCCGGAUAACUCGUUUUCCGGGCACGCCGACAAAUCCGCCGUAUACAAAGAAAUUUUUCUCAGUAUACGAAGCGUAGCUGUAUAUGUAAAACAUACAAUACUACAAAAACAGUAGUAUAGAGCUGCUAUGAAACUAAACAGGUAGAACAAAAAAACAGGUUCCAUAUACAUACAUAAUAUCAUGGUACAAAAAGUACUCGCUCCAGCGAGUUAAAACAUCUGUAUGUACAUGAACUCAAAAAGAUAAAGUAUCACUACCUGCAGCACAGGAUCCUCUAUCUCGGCAACUCAUCGGGUAGGGCUCUAGCUCGCAACGUCCUUGCCACGAUCAGCCUCAGAAGGUGCAGCAGCCGGAACCGAUGGCUCUGCAAAAGAAGGGUAACAACUGGAUGUGAGAACUACUGUAAAAAUAAGUAGUCCUCAGUGGGUGCUGCCCUGAACAUCAUCGGUCCACCCACUAAGUCUAUAGAAGCAAGAAAGCUAGUAGGAAAAGCUAGAAAGAAAUCUAAGCUACAUGUUGCUACACUAGCAUGCUCUACCCUACCAAUUGUAGUAAAAGUCACUGACUAUCUCACCCGGGCUGCCCAACUGGGCCCACCCUGCCUGUCUCCAACUACGCCGUACACCACCUCGAGAGUGGCCGGCUCAAAAACUGUCCAACAGAAAUUGCGACACUCAUCGCACUGAAACCUCAUUCCGGAAUGACAUUCGCGGGUGCGACCCACGAGUUACAAGUGUCUCUGUCAUUUCAUUCUUGCUCUCACAGGUUCGGCCAAGUAAAUAGGGUCUAACUGGACUACCAACCAACUAGUUACGUGCCCUCGGCAUAAUCUGAUACCAAAAUGACAAAUCUAGGUCCGCCGUCAACCACUACGGCACCCACUAGUCCGGAACAAUGUAAACACUGUUGUAAAAAUAGGCUCGGCAUCCCAGCACAAGCGUAACAGUAAUCUAAACUAUCUGGGGUACUCACCACAAGGAUACUGCGAUAGUACAAAAUACAACGCCUCCUAGAGCUAAAUCAGGUAGUUUAAACAUAUGACAGGUCCCGAACGUUGGUUUUCUCCUAUGUCAUAUUUCAGUCCAACAUGUAUAAUUAUUAACACUUAAUAACAUGCUCCAAAUUCAAUUCUUAUGUCUAAAACAUGCAUAACUAUGAAUUUGAGCUAAAAAUAAUAACGAUGAAUAUACAUUAAUUAUACAUAUCGACCAACGGAGCUAUAAGAGUAGAAAACUGAUGAUAAACCCAUCUCAAAAGCUAAAUGCAAUCCGGUGCGACGUCGAGAACGGCAAAAACGCACCCUCGCCUGGCUUCCUCGCGAUGCUACGAUGACGAACAUACGCUCAAACGGUACCGCGGCGCGACGUCGGCGACACACGAGCUCCAACUGGAUUCUCGUUCUCCUUGCGUACGGUCAAGUAUAGGAGAGAAAUAAAAACAUGCACACUCAGUUAAUUGAGAGGAUAAACAUGAAAGGAUACGUGGCAUCCUUAUCACAACUAAAAGACCACCAUGCCCCCCAUACCAACUCAAAGAGAGAAAUAAAUAAUAAUAAUAAAAAACAAAAGUAAAUCAAAGAAUACUACAAUAUAUAUAUAUAUAGUUGAGCUAUGAUACUUUUACAAGUAUCACCAUCAUGGUGCUAUUAGGUUUUAAGCCAUUGGAUCUACUUUUUGAUUAUUAAUAGCUCUUGGAUUAAACACUAUUCCACCUAUCACCAUCUACCACCACCUACCACCAUCAUCUCAACCUCACAUCUCUCCAUCCAAGGGCUAAAAACGCACAAAUAUCACCCCCAUGAUACUUUUACAAGUAUUCUAGCCCUACUCUAUAUAUAUAUAUAUAUAGUAGGGCUGCUAUACUCUUAUGAGUACGUAUUAGGUCUUUCGUACUCAUAAGUUGUUUUCGAUGAUGGAGCUUUCGAAUCGAUGAUCCACUCUGUUAAAUAUAGUGUCAGUUGAGUGGUGUUUGUCUAAUAGAUAUACGGUGAAAUGAAUCAAAGGUAAUCUAACGGUAGAAAACUCAAUAUACAAGGUGCUGUAACAAUUGAUAAUAGUACGACUAUAUAUAUAUUAAUAUAUAUAUAAUAUAUAAGUAAUAUAUAUAUUAUAAAUAAUAUAAUAAUAAAAAUUCUCUUUCUAGGAAAGAGGUCUAAUGAAGAUAUUUGUUCGUGGUCUGGAUUCAAGUGUUACUGUCGACCAUCUAAAGCAAGUUUUUAGUCCAUAUGGAGAACUGGUUUAUGUGAAGAUAGCUGUAGGCAAGAGAUGUGGGUUUGUGCAAUUUGCCAAGAGGUUUGCCCUUUUUCACAUUUUCAAACUUAAAUUUUACCCUUAUUUGGUGAUAAUUUAAUCAUGUUUGUUUGACCAGUUUUUAUAGGAUAUUUUGCAUCUUUUUUGUGCUAAAAUAUGUUUAUAGUUUCUGUUCUAUGUCGGCUUUUCAAAUAUUUGAGUUCUUCUAUAAUUCUUGUACUAACUGACAUAAAUAAAUUCUAAUAGAAAUGCAACUUCCUGCAUGAACAUGAUGACUCCCCAGCAUGUACUUUUGUGCAUUGCUGAACAUGUUUUAGAACUGAACAGAUUUUGAAUAUUGAGAUGUAAUUGUACUAUUAUAUAUGAUAUAACUUUUGUGCAUUGCUUCAUACGAUCUAGAACUGAACAGAUUGUGGAUAUGGGGACUUACUGCUACUAUUAUGACAUAUAAACUAGUUGACACUAUGAUUGUGCGGAGGGCAUUAGGAUAAUUACUUGUAAUCUUUUUUAUCAUUGUAUAGAUUAUAGUCUAUAAAGGCACGUUGAGCUUGAUAGAGAUAUACUAUGAUACUCAUUGAGGGUCGUUCCCCUUCGAGCGCUGCUCUGGAGUGCUUGCUUUGUUAAGAAUAUACAUUUUUUUGAACUUAGGUUGAGUCAAAUUAAUUAACCCAUCAAGUUAGUUCAUAGAAGAUGGUAUAGACUACGAAUCAAUCCAAUACAUCAAUUGGUUUUAAGUUUAUUACUAUUGAUGCAAGAUAUACAUGUCUAAGUCUAAUUAACAUUGUUGACUUGUUGACCGGCUAAUGCACGUGUGUGUGUGUGUGUGUAGAGGUGCAUGCCUGCAUGCCCUGAAAACCGUAUGGAUGUCGCGUGUGGGAAAAUUAAUUAGCGUCUUCAGCUAAUUAAUUCACGGCGUCCCGAUGACCGUACGACAGUAGAAGAGAGGCAACCUCACAUGCGACGUCUGGAUCGGAGUCGGCGGCGGAGCAGAGGUUCUCGACCAAUUGCCUGAGCGGUUUGGAUUCUUCGAAGCAACGACAUAAAAGAUUUUGGUUAGAAUUUUUAUACUUCUCUGAUUUAUUUUUCUCGAUUUUACAAAAAAAAAUUUUCGGUAUUUUCUUGGAAUUAUUUUUAGACUAGUGUUUCUUACGCGGUAUCCUAGAAUUGGACAUUUUGGUCCGUGCAUUGCAUCCAAGGAUGUUGCCAAUAACCGAUGCAUAGUUUAUCCAUGUGCUGCAUUCACAUUCAUCUGUUAGCUAGGCCGAUAAUUUAACCAUUCAAGUAACUUCGAAAUGUAGAAAAGAUUCAAUUAUUUUUCGUUAUUGCUUAUAUUAGAUUGUAAGAUUUUAUACAAACUGAUUGACUUUUUUUGAGAGAAUAUACAAACUGAUGGACUUGUGGUGCAAAUAUAUAUGAACCUGGUGCAAGCUACAAUUUAGUUGCAAAUAAUUUACUGUAGCUAAAGGUGACAAUGUAUGGAAGCCCAUGAACUUUGCGCGAUUCUGAAACUAAUCCCACAAGCCAGAACUAAUUUUCUUUGAUUAAGAUGUUUUAAUUUUUUUAAAUGUGAAUAAAUCCAUAGUUAACUUAAACAUUAUUAGAUUUAUAACUUUAUUAGUUAUUAAUUCUUAAUUGGUCUGAUUUUAUUUGCUAAAAAUGAUUGCAGUCAUUUCAUUUGAUGAAAUGACCAAUAAAUAUAUAUGACAAAGUACUAAUUCUCAAUUAUUUUUUACUUGAUAAAACUAAAUAGUUAUUGACACUUUUAGUAACUAAUGAAAUUCACAAGUGAUAUAGUAGAAUAUAUGCAGAGUAAAGCCAUUAGUCUUUUUUAUGUCCAAUUUAAUAUAAUAUAUAUGUCAAAUUCAGAUAGUUAAAAAUUACAUAAAAUUAAUAGAAAAAUAAUUUAUUUAAAACCGACACAUAGUUGAGGGGGUUUGCGUGCAUCAAUAUUUGGGCCGAAUUUGCCUGUGGGCUAGAUAGAGUAAUAUAUUCAUGUGGAUUUUAUUUGAUUUGGAUCCAAAUCUGCAUGUGGGCUGAGACGGGUUUUGGGUUUUAAUGUUCUAGGGCCGAAUCUGUAUGUGGGCUGGAUUUUUAUUGAUUUUGAAUCCAAAUCUGCAUGUGGGCUAGAUUUCGGGCUCUACAGGUUGUGGGCCCGAAUUUGCAUGUGGGCUUGGCAUGUGGGCUUGGUGUUUUUUUUUUUUUUUUUUUUGACUGCUUAUGGAAUUUUUUUUAUUAGACCCAUGAUAGAUUGAACNUUUUUUUUGACUGCUUAUGGAAUUUGUUCAUUGGGCCCAUAAGUAAGCGAUGGAUUGAACCAUUUUCGAUUAAAUAGUUCCAAACCCAUUUUCUCAAAUUUUUUUUGUUUCUUUUUUUUUGUUCUUUUUUUUUUUUGACUGAGGGAGAGGGAACAACUCUUUUUUUUUUUCUUUUGUAUUUGUUGUUUUUUUUUCUUUUCUUUUCUUUUCUUUUUUUUUUUGGGAUAAUUGCCUAUAUACCCCUCAUGCGUCUGGAAAUAUCCGAUCUACCGCUAUUUUUUUUCUUUCUAAAAUGCCUCUUAUAUGUUCCACCGUUAUUCCAAAAUACCCCUGCAGUUAACCCCUGUUAGCUUAACUCAGGUUAAACAUGGGUUAAAUGUAUAUUAGAGUUAAAACCUAUAUAAAAUACCUAUUUUACCCCUACCUUAUUAUGCUAAUGUCUUAAGGUAUCCUCUUUCUCUCCCAACUUGAUCGUCGGGUCCUCCGCCUCCACCUCGCCGGUUCCUCCGCCUCUACCUCGCCUCAUCUCCUCCCAAACCACAGGCGAGGAUGACGCCCGCCGCCUCCCAGACCAUGGGCGGGGAGCUGCGGCGGCGCGGCGGAGGAGGAGGAGGGGUGCCGCGAAGACGCGGCGACGCUGCGGCAGAAGCUGGCGGCGAUGGCGGCGAUCCUGGUGGCGUGGAUAGUGGGCGUGGCGAUCCCGCUGGCGACGGAGGAGGAGGAGGGGUGCCGCGAAGACGCGGCGACGCUGCGGCAGAAGCUGGCGGCGAUGGCGGCGAUCCUGGUGGCGUGGAUAGUGGGCGUGGCGAUCCCGCUGGCGACGGAGGAGGAGGAGGGGUGCCGCGAAGACGCGGCGACGCUGCGGCAGAAGCUGGCGGCGAUGGCGGCGAUCCUGGUGGCGUGGAUAGUGGGCGUGGCGAUCCCGCUGGCGACGGAGGAGGAGGAGGGGUGCCCCGACGACACGGCGGCGCUGCGGCUGAAGCUGGCGGCGAUGGCUGCGGGGAUGGUGGGCAUGGUGAUCCCGCUAGUGGCAGGGCGGAAGCGGCGGCGCCUUCUGAGCACGGAGAGCAGCUUCUUCGCCCUCACCAAGGCCUUCGCCGCGGGUGUCAUCCUCUCCACGGGCUUCGUCCACAUGCUCCACGACGCCGAGGCCGCGCUCACCGACCCCUGCCUCCCCGGCUUCCUCUGGCGUCGCUUUCCCUUCUCCGACUUCGUUGGCAUGGCCGCCGCCCUCGCCACCCUCGUUCUUGACUUCCUCGCCACCCAAUUCUACGAGCGCGGCGGAGGACGACGAGGAGCGCUCCAUCAUCACAGUGGCGCCGGAGCCACCCGUGGAUGAGGACGAGGACGAGGGCUCCGCCAAGGGCGGCGACGCGGUGCACAUCGUCGGGAAGCGCGCGCACGCGGCGGCGCACAGCCACAACCACCACCAGGUGUAUAUUAGAAAGACUUGGAACAUAAAAAGGGUAUAUUGGAACGGACAAAAUGAUAAUUUUUCAGAGAUAACGACAGCUCACUAACGGAACUUAACUCUAGGGGUAUAUUAGAAAGACUUGGAACAUAAGAAGGGUAUUUUCAAUAUUAGCCUUCUAAGAGGGGUAAAUAAGAAAACCGAAAACUUUUCAGGGGUAUAUAGGCAAUUGCCCUUUUUUUUUUGUUGGUUUUUCAGGGGUAUAUAGGCAAUUGCCCUCUUUUUUUUGUUGGUUCUUCUUUUCUUUUUUCUUCUUCUUCUUUUUUUUUUGUUGACUGCGAGAUUUAUUUUAUAUAUAUAUACCUUUCAAAAGCAAUAUCAUAGAUAAUACAAGCCAAACUUUUAAAAUUGCAAUAUCUAUUUGGAAAAUUUGUAUUCACUUUCGAAUUAUUUUAAAAGUAGAUGGUGCCAACAUUCAUUAAUUAUACAAAGACUCAUUACAUGUAAAAUUCAGCCAUUAGAUUAAAGUCUAAUGGAUAAAACUUUAUAAAUUUAUUUUUUAUAUAUAUCCAAUCUAAUCCAUCUAAGUUAUUGUUUGUUGGCCAGCUCGUGUUCGGCUUUCGGCUCGAUACUUUAACAAGCCAAUUAAACGAGCCGAACACGAGACAGCCCCAACUUGCUCAUGUUCGGCUCGUUGACACCCCUACUUCGAAUACACUAGAUCAAAAUUUAUUGAUAAUCGAUUAAGAAUCCCGACCAUCAGAAACCACUUGAAGCGGUUCGAAAUCCACUUACAUGUAUAUAUAGUGGCUAAUUUUUGGAAAAUAACUAACCCCCUAACUUUGAAAUUAAAAUUCAGCUUGAGUUUAAACUUUAUAUUUAUAAUAAUAGUACUAUAAAUUAAAUUUUAAAUGAGUAAUCUAUUUUAAAUUUGAAUUUAAUUUAUAUUGUACUUAUUAACCCAACUUUUUAUUAUUUUAAAAAAUUUUUCUAUUUUUGAAAAUAAAAUCCAAAUUGUUAAUUCAAUAUUAAAACAACAUUAAAGUUCAAAUAUUAAUCAAAUUAAGUUUUAUAUUGGGAUCUAAUUUAUAUUAUAGUUAUAAACCCAAAUUUAAUUAAUUAUUUAAAUGUAAAGUUUCUAUUUUUAAAUAUUACAUCAAAUUAUAAAUCUGAAUUUAAUUUUCACUAUUAUUAUUUCAAAUUAUCUUUAAAAUUGUUAUUUCCUUGUUAAAUUAAAUAACACAUUAAAUCCAUUCUACAUGGAUUAUGAGCUUGCGUGCGUGCUUUGUGUGGAUUUUUUUUUUGUUAAUUUUAAACUUCUCUCAAAAGGAAAUAUAUUUACGUACAAACGGAGAUACAAUCUUUACCUGCACCUAUUAGAUACUUAGAUCAUUUAUGUUUAAAUACACACUAAUUAGGUUAUAAAAUAUUAAAUUUAAAUAUUUUGGAUAGUUUUCUAACUUAGCUCUCAAUCAAUUUCGUGUUAGGAUACUCAGACUAUAUAAAUUGGAUUGCAAAGAUUCGGCCAGAAAAUAAGAUUACUAGAUUGGGAGAAUUGGAUUUAUUCAUCGUAAAAUUCAAAUUGUCCCCAUGUGCUGUACAUUAUUGUCAUUUUGCCACUCUGUAGUUAAAAAAAUUUCACUUUACCUUUUUGUGAUUUAGCUCAUUUUUAUUUUGUCAUUUCGUGGUUUAAAAAUUUGUACUUUUUCUCCCUAUAAUUUAGAAUAUUUUUCUUUUUCACCAUGUAAAGUAAAGAUUUUAUGAUAAGAUGUAUUACUCAAUAAGUGUAUGGUAGAAUAAUAGAAUUAUAGAAGAAAAUCAAAUAAGAUACAGCUUUGUCGAUUUUGGAUUGAAACACCCACCUAAACAAGUAUCUAAGUCCUCGACUCCAUCGAUCCUCUAGGUAUCACUUGAAUUUAAACAAAAUAACCAAAUACCACAAUCUCUACUAUCAUGUAUUCUAAUAACCGAUGCAUCUAAACCGCACCAACCUGUAUUGUCACGCAAAGUGAAUAUCGGUUCCGCAAACCAACUUCUGAAACUAAGCCUCCGAAACUAAGCCUAAAGGCCAAACAACUUAACGAAAAGUCACAACCACCCUCCCGCUGUCCAAAGACGCACUACUUUAUGUGUCAAAACAGCUACAAGCUUAGUGCUCAACAAAACGGAUAGCGACCAUGGAACUAGGCCACGACAGCUCCACUAUUCGAUUCUUUCAAAAAAUAAUCAUAUUUCAAAACUAACAAUUUGCGCGAUACAUAGUACUUUGAGUGAAUUCAAUAACUUUUAUAACAUCUUACAUAUAAGUAGAAAUGACUGAAAUAAGUUUUUUUUAGCGCACACUACAUUUGUCUACACCCCAAAUGCUCUUCGAAUUAUGAAUUUACAAACCAAUCUAACCAUGCAAAUUCUAAAUAAGGAAAUUAACUUGUAAUAAGAUCACUACAUAUAGAGAUACACACGCAAUAUGAAGACUAUAAUUUAUGCGUUUGGGUUAUGAGAACAAUUUCUAACAUUAAUUGUUGGUAAUAUCAAUAAGGAUUGACUAACAAUUUAGGAAAAAUUGGAUACUACAGUAUAAAUUUUUAAAAUUCAAGUAUUUAUUUGUAAAUAGUUCAUUGCUCAAGCAAUUAUUUUCAUAAAUUUGUGCUUUCCAUCUAUUAACAAACACAUUAAUGGUGUGUCUCACAUGUAUCCGCUAGGUCUCGUAGUUUAUAACAAAACUAAUCGUAUGACAAGAAAGAUUGUAUGCAUCCGAUUUUAAUUUGGAGCAAGAAGAAAUAUGUGAUAACUUUUGUUACGUUAUCUACAAGCAUUAUUGAGGAAAAAAAAAAAAUAAUUCAAAUACCAUCCCUGUGAUUUCACAAUUUCUCACUUUAUUAUUUUUUGAUUUAAAGUGUAUCAUUUUAGUACCGUGUGGUUUUAUUUUUUUUCUUUUUGUUAUCGCAUCCACUAAUUUUUUUCGUUAAAUUAGUGACAAAGUUAAAACUAAAGGGUACUAAAGUCAUUAUUUGAUAAACUAUAGGCGGGUAUCUGAAAUUUUUUGUAUGUGAUUUAACGAAAAGUUAACGGAGGGGCUGACAAAAAGAGAAAAAAGAAACCACGGAGUACUAAAUUGAUACACUUUAAACUAUAGGGUACUAAAGUGAGAAAGUGCGAAACUAUAAUACUGGUAUUUGAAGUUACUGAAAAACAAAAGGAAAUGGAGAAUUUUUCUGACUUUGGAAUAUCUUCUUUUUUUUCCAAUUUGACAUUCAAAUGGGUU
rnacentral:lncRNA from 1 species